UUCCCCGGGGUAGCCUCGGACGGCCAUAAAAGCGUGUCUCCACCUCCAGUACCUGUAGAGUGUGAUGUGACCGCUGAGCCCACGCACCGUCAGCUCACUCCCGAUCCAGAUCCACUCGUUCCACUUCAGUCUGCGGCGACGACUUUCCUCCUCCCACGCAGAUCUCGUCGGCGCGAGCACCAGAUCAGCCGCAGCGCCGAAGGUAGUCCGCCUUCUCCUCGCUCCGUCUUGUAGAUCCAUCUCAGGCUCUCGCUCUCGAUCUGUCCUCUUCUUUUUCCUUUUCGGCGUCCAUUUCUUGUGGAUCUGAUCCGGAUUCAUGCUUUGCAGAGCUCGAUCUGCUCUGCUGUCAACUUCUUCAGCGUCGCGAACUGGAGGCGGAGAGCCGCUGCUCGGUGUUCGUUCAGGCUGCUCUUCUUCAACCUUCCGCCUCUGGCGUCGUCUCUCCUCCUCCCGGAUCCCGGUCGAGAUCUCAUCCACCGCCAGGUCGCACCCUGCUUCCUCAGGGUGCAGCCUUGUGGUCACGAGGCGAGGUCGCCGUCUUCGCGUCAACUGGAAUCACAUCUGGCGUCGACAAGCUUACUGUUUCCUCCGGCCUGAUCUGGCAUCGACAAGCAGUUUCCUCCGGUUGGAUCUGGCAUCGACAAGCUUACUGUUUCCUCCGGUUUGAUCUGCAUCCAUCUGGAAUCAAAUAACCUGUUUGAUCUUCCCUGCUUCAGAUUUUCUUCACUGCAUCGAUCUGGACUCCCUCCGAGCACCUCCCGACUGCAAGGUAAGGUCUUCCCGAGCUUUCCCUUCAGCGGUUACUGGUUCAACAGAAAGUAUGCUUCCAUACUUGCUGCAUUUCUUUGCUUGGUUAUAGUGGUGUACUGGUGUCUCAAACUUUCUGCUUGCGCAUAUUAUUUCUUUGCUUGCACCUUUGAAUGCUUGUGAAGUUCUUUUUUUUUGGGUGAGAAACUGCUUGUGAAGUUGUGUAGCUUACUGUAUUUCCUUCUAUUAUGGUAAAUCGGACGCCCUUUAAUUGUUAGUAUAAUCUUUUAAACUGGAGUUAAUAUGCGUAAAAUCAAUUAUUGGUCCUGAACUUAUUUCAGUCUGAGCUUGUCUGGCGAUAUAUCUAAAGAACGCUUGCGAAUAUGCUGAAUCUGCUGGAACUUGCUAAAACUAUCACUGAUUGGCACAUAGUACUCGUUUAUUCUAUUUAAAAGAGAAUCAACUGGCUAUGAAAUUCUUUUCUUCAUCUCUUUUGCUGUGAUACUUUUAGUAGGUCAUUUCCUCUUUUUUAAUAUAAAUUUGCUACCUUUUUACACUUCCUAGAUGCACAAUAUUUUUAUUUUUUUGUUGUAAAUUCCUUAUGAUUAUUGAUCACAUCUGGGGAGAAGAAAAUGUGAAGAUUUGUAAAAAAUUCUUUGUAGUUGAAUAAUCAUAACAUAACAUACAAGAUUACUAUCUUUGAAGCAUAUCACUUUUUCUGUGAUAACAUAAUUCAUAAGAAACCUCUUUCAAAUAAGACUCUCAAAUAAUUUUCUAUAGAAAAUAUAUCGUAAUGAGAACAUAUGUUCACGUGAAUUAGAGAAAAUAUCGAGAGCUAUUUUCAAGAAAUGUGGUGGUGUACCAUAGCCAUUAUUGCUGUAACUACUAUUUUUGUUAGUAAUAAACCAAAUGGAGCAAAAAUUAUUGAUUCUGUUUGCUCAAUUUUAUGUGUCAUGAGGUAACAAAAGAUGCUAUAUUUGAAGGAAAUGGAAGGGAUAUUAUUGCUCAAUUGUUAUGAUUUGCUUCCCAUUUGAAGACUAGUUUAUUAUAUAUAAGCAUAUUUUUGUAAGUUUGAGAGAGAGAUCACAAGAAGAUCCACUUCAAGAGCCAUUGGACCGCUGAGAAAUAUGUUUAGAUAUAAUAAACAAGUCUUUAGAUGGGAAGGCAGAUCAUAAUAGCUGAGCGAAAUGUAAGUGAUACCGUUGCUCAAUUGUUAUGAUCUGCUUCUCAUCUGAAGACUAGUUUAUUACAUAUAAGCAUAUUCUUGAAAGUUUGAGAGAGAGAGAGAGAGAUCACAAGCAGAUCCCGUGCAGAAGAGAACAUCACUGAUACAACUAUAAUAAUUCUUCCACUUCAAGAGCCAUUGGGUCGCUGAGAAAUAUCUUUAGAUAUAAUAAACAUGUCUUCAGAUGAGAAGGCAGAUCAUAAUAGCUAAGCAAUAAUAUCAUUUUCAUUUUUUCUUUCGAACUAGCAUCUUUUGUAACCCCACAACCCGUAGCAUUGAGCAAACACAACCAAUCAUUAUUUGCUCUAUUUGGUUAUUACUAACCAAAAUACUAGUUAUAAUAAUGAUGGUUAAUGGUACACCUCCACAUAUUUUCAAAAUAGCUCUUGCUACUUACUCCAUUUUUCAUGCGGACACCUAUUCUUGCAUUCUCAUAUAGAGAAUUGUUCAUCUCUGAGUCUGUGAUACUACUUUUAUUAUGUCAUUUCCUCUUUUUAAUCCAAUUUAGCUGCCUUUUUACUCUUCCUAGCUAGCACAGUAUUGAUAAUUCAUUAUCUUCAUUGUGAUUCCUAAAUUCCCAUAGCUCGUUUAAAUAAAUUGAUGUGCCAAUUAAUAUUUCUAUUUUUUUGUAAAUACCUUAUGAUUAUUGAUUACAUGUGGGUAGAAAAAAAAGGUGAAGAUUAAGUGUUGUUUGUAUACAUUUUAGUUGUAUCGGAUAUCAUCAUAACAAAAUGCAAAAUUAGUAUCUUCUAAGCAUAUCACUUUUUCUGUGAUACAUAGUUCAUGAGAAACCUCUUUCAAAUAAGACUCUCAAAUAAUUUUCUAUAUAAAAUAUCGAGAAUAUAUGUUCACGUGAAUUGGAGAAAAUAUAACAAGAUGCAAAAUUAGUAUCUUUGAAGCAUAUCACUUUUUUUGUGAUACAUAGUUCAUGAGAAACCUCUUUCAAAUAAGACUCUCAAAUAAUUUUCUAUAGAAGAUAUAUCACGAUGAGAAUAUAUGUUCACGUGAAUUGGAGAAAAUAUCGAGAGCUAUUUCGAAGAAAUGUGGCAGUGUAUCAUAGCCAUUAUUACUAUAGCUACUAUUUUGGUUAGUAAUAAUACCAAAUGCAGCAAAAAAAUUAUUGGUUUUGUUUGCUCAAUUUUAUGCCUCAUGAGGUUACAGAAGAUGCUAUUUUGAAGAAAAUAAAAGGGAUAUUGUUGCUCCAAUUGUUAUGAUUUGCUUCUCAUCUGAAGACUAGUUUAUUACAUAUAAGCAUAUUUCUGUAAGUUUGAGAGAGAUCAUAAACAAGCGAUCGCCACAUGUUGACAGGGCUGCUCGACCGGCAGAGCAGUCCAGCAGCCGCAGCGGACGACUGAACGUGUUGCACCCCACCGCACCAUACAACUAUAAUAAUUCUUCCACUUCAUGAGCCAUUGGACUAUUGGGAAAUAUGUUUAGAUAAUAAACAAGCCUUCAGAUGAGAAGGCAGAUCAUAAUAGGUGAGCAAUAAUUUUUUUUUCUUUCAAACUAGCACCUUUUGUAACCCCACAACCCAUAGCAUUGAGCAAGCACAACCAAUCAUUGUUUGCUCUAUUUGAUUAUUACUAACCCAAAUACUAGCUAUAGUAAUGAUGGCUAAUGGUACACCUCCAGAUUUUUCAAAAUAGCUCUCGCUACUUACUCCAUUUUUCAUGCGGACAUAUGUUCUCGCUCUAAAAUAUUCGUAUAUAGAGAAUUAUUGGAGAGUCUUAUUUUAAAUAUGUUCAGUUCUAUUAAUUAUGUCAUCAUAGGAAGAGUGACAUUAUUUGUAGACACUAAUUUGCGUGUUAUUACGAUUAUCUGACUACAGAGAUUGGUUUUUGACACACCAUACUUAAUAAAUCUUCACAUGUUGUUUUGCAUGAUGCGUGUUGUUUUUCUUCUCCGAUGAGGCCUGCCCUUCGCUCACAUCUCAAAAGUCCCGAGGAACAUGAAGAUCAGCGCACCAGCAGUCAGCAGCUCAAGUUCACCGACCCAGGAAAGAUAUAUAGGAACUAGUAGUAUAUCAUAGGGGCACCAGUGCAAAUCAAAAUAGUGUUUCUGGCUUUUGCUAUCACGCUGUGUACUCCCCAUUCCGAUAUGGUUGAAUCGCUGGAGAGGGCAACUUUGUUUGUAGGUGCCAAUAUUCAUGUGUCUCUUUGCUGAGGGCCUGAGCAUGUCAUCUGUUGUCUUGGGGACAUGAGCCUCAUGGUAUUUCAGGAUACUUCCAUGAUGCCAAACAUCUCCGAAGUCAAUUCACAUGGCUUUGCUUCCUCCUCUCCUUUUACAUGUUGCUGCUGUACAUGUGCUCUUCAGCCUGUAACUAAAAGUGUUGAUGAUUUUGUUCACUUUGUGCUUGCAGUUUUCUUUUGAGGGGAUUGUGUUUGCAGAUUUUGGUUCAAUCUCUUUACAUUUUGCCAUGACCAAUUGCACGUGCUUACAAGGAAAGGGAGUCUGUAAAAACAUGACUUUUUUUAAGGCUGUAAAAACAUUACUUGUAGUUUUUGGUACCGUGUGGUUGAAAAAAGUUUGAAGGCGCUUAUGGAAACAAAGGUUGUCCUGGUAUAUGAUCCGCUUGCUGUCUCUUGAUGAUGGCAACGGGCCGCGGCGGUAGGGCAGUAGGCAGGUGCCCAGCAGCAAGGCGCGUAGACGCGUGGUUCAAAAAAUAAUGAAUGGCGGUGGAUCUGUAUGGCUAACGGCGAGGACAACAUUUGGUCUGGCAAUUUUUUUGUUGUAGCUAUGGUUUUGCGUAAGACUGAUUAUCAUUCCAGGUUUUCUAACGAAGGUACAGUAGUACAUGAGCACAGGGAGUCAGUUGGAGAGGCUCAUAGCUUAGUUAAAGCUGCUGCAGCCUUACAUGUGGCUGAGUGGUUUACCCGAUAUUUGUUAUAUUCCGUUGAAUGUUUUGAAUGAAAAAAUAACCCUGUUCUACUAAAAACAUGAAUUAGUCUUCCCGUUAGGGCACAUACACAGGAGUCCUUCUAUAUGACACACGCAGGCGUCAGGUAGACAACGAAACACCCACAUCGGCCAAAAUGGGCCGGAAGUGUAGCGGCUCACUUACGUUGUUCUAUUUUUUGUGCAAAUAUAUCAACUAAAUAUAAUAAAAAAUCCAUAAAAUAUAUUUACACAAAUAUACCGAUGAAAUAAAUUUAAAUGUACAGAACAUAUUUCAAUAAAUAUAUAUAUUUAGAAAAUCUCCACCUUGUGUUUAAAGAAUGUUCAAUGUGUAUUUAGAAAAUGUUCACCGUAUAUUAAAAAAAUCUUCAGUCUCUGUUUAUUAAAUGUUCAGUGUGUAUUUAAUUAUUUUCACAGUAUAUCAAAAAUGUAUUUCUAUAUUUUUAAGAAAUAUUCAUCAUAUAUUACAAAAGAUUUCAACAUACACUGAAAAUAGUCCGCCAUGUUUAAAAAAAUGUCCAUGUAUGAAAAAAAGGAGAUUUAUAAAUGAACAUAAUAAAAUAAAAUGAAAAAAAAGAAAAAAACCGAGCAAAUGAAAAAAAAAAUGCUAGAACCUUCCAAAGUAUUCCAAGAACAGGAUGGAGGAGUAUAUAAACAAAAGCGGAUGGCAGAGUACCAAAACAAAAGUACAAACAAAAAAUCAGAAAAAGAAAAUGCUUAGUUGCUGCGCACGAACGAAACAUCAUGAAACCUGCCAUUGCUACGGCUCAAUUCGGUCGCCUACGAGCAUCACUGAAACAAAAACAAAAAAAACGCAAACAGAUAACCGAAAAACACACGAUGGAGUUGCUGUGCAUGAACAAAACAGUACGAAACUUGUUACUGGACCAACCUAGACCAGUCGCCUGCGAGCGUCACCUCGUCCAUGGCAUCAAACAUGCGCCCAUAUACAGCGCAAACACUAUAUCUCGCCUAUUGUGAGUGGGAACAAGUGCUCGACUACACACGGCAAUUUUUGAGCUGCGGCCCCUUAAGCCGCGACGUUCAUUUCUUCGUGUGUGGGCCAGCUUUCUUUGGAGUGGGGGCCAGGUUUUAGGCGCGAUGGCUAGUUUGUUGGUGCAACUAACUAAAGGUUACCCCUGGGGUUGCUCCCACAAGAGCCCCUUUUUUGGCCUGGCAGCGCACCAAGCGGUGCGUCUAGCCGCCGCCAUGUGUCCUCCGUCCUGGUUUAUUGCCCCCCUUCGUAAUUUUGUAACAAAUUUUGACUAGUUUAACUAACAAAAUGUUAAUGCAUGUCGUAAAAAAAAUAUCGUUGGAUCCGUAUUUGAGCAUAGUUUUUAAUGAAAUUAUUUUUGCUACAUAUAACUUAUAUUUUAUUAGUUCAAAUUAUAGUGAAAAUAUGACACUAAACACGAUGGGGACUAAUAGACUAGGACAAAGAUAGUAUUUUCUUUUCGCAGGAAGCACACCCCAUGCUUCUCAAAAAGGAAAAAGCACAGCUGUGUUUCUGCGAGAAGGGGAAAGCAUAGCCUAUGCUUCUAAAAAAGUGAAAAAACAACGGUGUUUUCGGGCUAUGGUUUUUUCCUCCAGUUUUUUGGUAUUCAUUUUUUUUGUUUUUGUUGUUUUGUUUUCGAUCUUUUUCGUUUCUGGUUUUCUGGCUUACUUUUUUUCUCGGUUUUCUCAUUAAAAAGUUCAUCGAAAUCUAUUAACAUGGGAUCAACUUUCGAAGAUCCCGACGUGAUAAAUCCAAUAGUGAAAACGGUUUGGUAUUUGGACACACAAUGAGAAGAUAAAACAUUUUGAAUAGAUGGUUCUACGAAUAAAAGGAAAACUCCUACACAAUUGGCACAUUGCAGUGCACCACUUGUUAGCACCCGAGAAGAUGAAGAUUGACCUUUGCAAGGGGUUAACCUUAACUAGUUAUUUCGUUGGUUCAAUUUUUUUACUUUGUUUCUCUGGUCUGGGUUUUCAAUGAGUUUUUUAGUCUGGUUUCUCUGUUGUUUUCUUUCCUUUCCUAAUUUCUUUUCCUUUUCCUUUUCCUUUUUAUGUUCCUGUUUUUGUUUUUUAUCUUUAUAUUUUAUUCUUUGUGUUCUUUUUUGGUUUUCAUUUUUAUGAAUAAUCUAUGAAUACUUCAAAACAUAUGAACGCUUUUUCAAAAUGCACAAACACAUUUGAAAAUUAAAUGAAUAUUUGUUAGUUGCAUGGUCAUAUUUAAAAUUCAUAAUUAACAAUUAUGAAUACAUGAUUUUUUUGAAUUAUGCUAUACACUUUUUAGAAUGCAUGAUGAACAUUUUUUAAAACAAGAACAAUUUUUAAUACCUGACAUAAUUUUUCUAAUAUAUAUUUUGGAAAAUUAAAGAUGGGUAUUUUUUUAGUGUAUGAUGAAUAAUUUUUAAUACAUGGUUUUUUUAAUAAAUGAUAAAAUUAUACUAUGAUUUAAAAACAAAUAUAUGAUUAAAAUUUGUGAAUGCAAGAUCAAUUUUCUAAAUAUAUGAUGAUCAUUUUCCAUAAAUUAUGCAUAUAUUUUAAAAUAGACAUUGAAAAUUUAUCAAAUACUACAAUAAAUAAAAUUUAACACGUGAUUUUUUUUAAAAAAAUUGAGAAACAUUUUAUUAUAUGGCAUUUUUGUGUAAAUUUAGUACAGUAAAAAUAAUUAUUUAAAAAUAAUUAGUACAUAUAAAAUGGAAAAGUCUACUUCCUUUGAGCUAACUAAACUGCACAUAGUAUUUUUUUAGAGCUAACAAAAUUGUACAUACCCUUGAAAAAAAGAGCUUGUAGCAUAUCAAACUAUAGACCAUACUUCGAUGGAGGAAAAACUAGCGAUCAUACGCUGUGCUGGGCCGUCCCACCCAGUGCGAAGUGGGCAACCGCUCCCUCUCGCUCGCAAGAGGCGAGAUACAGACGUAGCACAUAUUUUUAGGCAUAUAUAUCUAUGUACUACUAGCUCUGUCCUACCCCUAAAAAAAACUCUGCCCUGGUUUACUAAUCCCUUCAUAUUUUGGGUCAAAAUAUGACCAUAUAUUUGACUAGGCAAACUUUAAUGCAUGUCACAAAAAAUUAUAUUGCCGAAUUCUUAUUUGAAUGUAGUUUCUUAUGAUAUUAUUUUUGCUACAUAUGAUUUAUAUUUUAGUAGUUUAAANNNNNNNNNNNNNNNNNNNNNNNNNNNNNNNNNNNNNNNNNNNNNNNNNNNNNNNNNNNNNNNNNNNNNNNNNNNNNNNNNNNNNNNNNNNNNNNNNNNNNNNNNNNNNNNNNNNNNNNNNNNNNNNNNNNNNNNNNNNNNNNNNNNNNNNNNNNNNNNNNNNNNNNNNNNNNNNNNNNNNNNNNNNNNNNNNUUGAGGGCCAUAUUACACACAUUUUAGUAGUCAAAUUUAUAACCUUUGCACACUAUACAAAUCUGGAUGGAGUACUUAUUAUAAACGGGGAUAGAGCUAGUACAUCAUGUCGUAAAACUUUGAGGGCCAUAUUACACACAUUUUAUUAGUCAAAUUUAUAACCUUUGCACACUAUACAAAUCUGGAUGGAGUACUUAUUAUAAACGGGGAUAGAGCUAGUACAUCAUGUUGUAAAAUUUUGAGGGCCAUAUUACACACAUUUUAUUAGUCAAAUUUAUAACCUUUGCACACUAUACAAAUCUGGAUGGAGUACUUAUUAUAGUUUUUUUUUCUUGUCUUAAUAAAGUCAAUGCAUGUUUCAUAGGACAUCGAAUCUUCCAUUUGUGCAUUGGUCAAUGGGAUAGAUACUGUCAUACUGACAUGCAUGCUUCUUUUUCUACUGUGAUCAUUGUUUCAUUAAUUGAUCUCGGUUGAACUUUCUAAACCUUGAGGGCCACCUCGCUCAAUCUAUAUCGACAUAUUAAUCAAUUGUGGCAUGAAGCCACAACCAUAGCACGUAGAAAAUCUGGAUUCUAUUUAGUGAGAUGCAUAUUUGCAUGCUAUAUUGGACACAUGAAGUUAUGUCAUGCUACCCGGUAAAGUGAAAUUUCCAUCAUAAUGUUUUUCCACACAUAUAUGGAAAAAAGGGUGAACUAGCAGAAGCUCAGGUAGACCUGCACAGUUUCGUUAGUAGCAAAUGUGUAGACAUUGCACUUAUAUGAUAUAUGCAGCACAACAAAUAACUAUGAUUGUUAUAGUCCCCAGAAAAAAUAAAAUAAAAAUAAGAUUACAAUCAUAUGUAGAAAGGUACCAAAAAUGAGGAAGCACUUUUUUGCAGAGAAUAAAGGAGUUUUGUUUCGGUACUAUGUUCAGAACAACCAAAAUUUGCCAAAUAAUUAGCCAACCUAUUUUGGUCUCAAGCUACUUUCUAGGGCAUAAACUUCCAUUCUUGCAUCAACCUUUUGAUCUCAUCAACUAGAUGUCCAUACGCCGAGCGGGCCAAGGUAUCGUUUCACAAGGCAAACAGGGCCACCAAAGAAUCUGUUUGAACGAUACGAUAAACGGGAGAUCUAUCCAUUGAAACUCCAGGGCCAUGCCCUCCACUUCAAGAGCUUCAUUAUCGACAUGAAGUGGAAAUAGUCCUCCUGGCAGAGUUCCAAAGAAUCAUGUCCGACCCCACGAAGCCAUCUGCCGGCAUGAAAGAGCCACCGACAGAGAGCACGGCAUGGCUCAUGCGUACAUUGUGCAAGGAAUUUCUUGUUGUAUUACUGAGAUACUUUUGUCUUGGAUAUUCUCCGGUGACUAGAUUGUGUUUACCUUCUUUUUACAAAGUUUGCUCGAAUUCAAUAAUUUUAGGUAAUUUUUGGUAAAUUUGAAAUUCCUUUGAAUAAUUCCAAGUUGUAUUUGACUAAUAUCAUUCGAAAGCGGUCCUACCGCGUCCCACUGGUUAAUUUCCAAACCCCCAAAAAUAUUGCUAUUAAUUACUUAAUUUUCCAUCAAAGUAUAUUUAGUUCAUUUGAGGUCACAAUGUGAUAGAUUACUUGUUUAUCUGAAGCAGAGUUUAUUAAUAUUUCAGAUUGACACCACUCAAGAUAAAAUCCAUAGGUUUGAGAAAAAGAUUUUAGAUUGGGCUUGCAGGCCGGCCUCUCAUGGCCCACCAAUAGACACCGAACGCAGAAGGCUUUAGAUUGGGCUGUAAUGGGCCGUGGGACAACAGUAUUGCCUGAAAUUGCUCCCCUUCCAUUUUGAAUAGGCUGAAUUCCUGCUUAAUUAUUACCAGCAACAUGGAACUGAAGUCUAUCAAAGACCGUAGUAACUGCUACCGUUGAUCUUGCUAUGUUAUUCCUCUGAUUUUGAAAAUUAUUUGUCGCUUGAUUGUAAUACCUUGGAGCUCGAAUAACAUAUGCAUAUGAAUUUGCAUUCCUUGAAUGAGAGACAACUAUCCAACCAUCAUGUUGCUCAGGAUCGGGCAAAGAUCGAUGUUUUGGCCCAUUUGGUCCCCAAAGGAGGAAUCCAAAAUUGAAUUCAGGCAAUGAGACAUUUCCUCCAUUGUAAAUAGCAAAACCAACAUUGGUGGAAGAAGCCGAGAAUUUGAAAAGUGAUUCACGAAUUUUCUGAACUUUGAAGAGAGAGGCUCGUCCUCCGAAGCAGGAAAGGAGAAUUGUACCUACUGAUUCCUCCGUGAGACGGAUCUUGGAUCUUGUAUACUCAGCCACCAAAAAGAAUUCCCGUUGCCCAUUUUCUGCCGUAAAGUUGAUUGGAAGUUCCAGAGAGCACCAUAUACGAUCUUUGAAGGCAUGGCCUCUCUCAAAGCGGAGAUCCGAUAAAGACAUGUCUUACCCAAGGGAGGAAAAGAGGCUGUGAGUAGGGUGUCUGCCGCACUCGAAGUGACAUUCAGCGUGAGCGGGGGUGGCCGCCGUGACCGGGCUGGCCAACGACGGGUCUAGGAGCGGGGCGGCUAGUCGGCUACACUACUUUGUGUGGAGGUUGUUUGGAGUUGGAGAGGCUUGGAUUCGUAACUAGCCGUCUCCAGCAAGUUUGAGUUGUUGAUGACCAAAAGGAUUAUACGGAUUAAAAAAUCAUAGAAAUUGCAUACCAUUAGGAUGAACAUGACAUCUCUCAAGGAAAAAUUGCAUAUUCCACUCUACUUACAGAACAAAUUAAUUGCACUGAUGUAUACAUUCUGAUGGAUUCCAAUGUCAACGAAUCUUUUAAUUUGACCCAGUUAGAUUUGCCAAGAUUUUUCUUGGUCGGAAUAAUUUGCAGUUCGUCUUGGAUGAGAAGGCUGAGCUAAUUCGCCUUGCGUUGCAAGGUUGCGCAGGUUACGAGUUUUCUGGUGAGGGUGGAGGCUACCCUUGGUAGGCUCAUAAUUGCGCCUGAUGUCACUCACCCGACCAAGCUCCAUGUUGAUUGUGUGGAUAGAGAGGAAGCUGACCUCUAUGGAUGUUUUCUCCUCGUAUUAGCUCUACGUGUCAUCGCUGGAUGUUGCAUCGACUACCUCUAGGAGUGAGGACAUCACCGAGAUUGUUGCUCUGAUGCUGUAGAUCAUGCCCGAGCUACAAAUGAUGUGUGGGAAGCAUGCUUCACCUUUGUAAAUGGUACAUGCAGACUCUCUUGUGACCUUGAUAGUGGUUGCACCGCCACCCACACCACCAUCAUCACAAACUAGUAAGGCACUCAUCUUCGUGGAGCGUGGAGGUUUGGGUGGUUGAUACGUCCAUUUUGCAUCAUGUUUUCUUACUGUUAGUUAUGCUGUUUUUAUCCAUAAUAAUGCUUUUUGGAGUAAUUCUAAUGCCUUUUCUCUCAUAAUAUGCAAGGUUUACACAAAGAGAGAGAAUUCCGGCAGCUGGAAAUUUGGACCUGGAAAAGCUACGUCAGGCCACCAAUUCUGCACAACUCCAAACAAGCUGAAACUUCACGGAGAUUUUUUAUCAAAUAUAUGAAGAAUAUUGGAGCAAAUAACUACCAUAGGGGGCCACCAGGUGGGCACAACCCACCUGGGCGCGCUAGGGAGCCCAGGCGCGCCCUGGUGGGUUGUACUCACCCAGGCCAACCUCCGGUGCCCAUGUUCUGGUAUAUAAGUCAUUUUGACCUAGAAAAAAUAAGGAGAGAACUUUCGGGAUGGAGCGCCGCCGUCUUGAGGCAGAACUUGGGCGGGAGCACUUUUGCCCUCCAGCGGAGCGAUUCCGCCGGGGGAACUUCCCUCCCGUAGGGGGAAAUCAUCGUCAUCAUCAUCACCAACAACUCUCCCAUCUUGGGGAGGGCAAUCUCCAUCAACAUCUUCAACAACACCAUCUCCUCUCGAACCCUAGUUCAUCUCUUGUGUUCAAUCUUGUUAUCGGAACUAUAGAUUGGUGCUUGUGGGUGACUAGUAGUGUUGAUUACAUCUUGUAGUUGAUUACUAUAUGGUUUAUUUGGUGGAAGAUUAUAUGUUCAGAUCCAAUAUGCUAUUUAAUACCCCUCUGAUCUUGAGCAUGAUUAUCAUUUAUGAGUAGUUACUUUUGUUCUUGAGGUCACGAGAGAAAUCAUGUUGCAAGUAAUCAUGUGAACUUGAUAUGUGUUCGAUAUUUUGAUAGUAUGUAUGUUGUGAUUCCCUUAGUGGUGUCAUGUGAACGUCGACUACAUGACACUUCACCAUAUUUGGGCCUAAGGGAAUGCAUUGUGGAGUAGCAAUUAGAUGAUGGGUUGCGAGAGUGACAGAAGUUUAAACCCUAGUUUAUGCGCUAUUCCGUAAGGGACCGGUUGGAUCCAAAAGUUUAAUGCUAUGGUUAGAAUUUAUUAUUAAUACUUUUCUCAUAGUUGCGGAUGCUUGCGGGAGGGUUAAUCAUAAGUAGGAGGUUUGUUCAAGUAAGAACAACACCUAAGCACUGGUCCACCCACAUAUCAAAUUAUCAAAGUACCGAACACGAAUUAAUCCAACAUGAUGAAAGUGACUAGAUGAAAUUCCCAUGUACCCUCAAGAACGCUUUGCUUAUCAUAAGAGACCGUUUCGGCCUGUCCUUUGCCUUAAAAGGAUUGGGCUACCUUGCUACACUUUUGCUACUAUUAUCAUUACCUGCUUGUUACAAAAUAUCUUGCUAUCAAACUACUCCGUUAGUUACAAUUUUAGCACUUGCAGACAUCACCUUGCUGAAAGCCACUUGUCAUUUCCUUCUGCUCCUCGCUGGGUUCGACACUCUUACUUAUCAAAAAGAGCUAUAAUUUAACCUUUAUACUUGUGCGUCAUCAAGACUAUUUUCUGGCGCCGUUGCCGGGGAGUGAAGCGCCUUUGGUAAGGAAACAUUUAUAUAGUGUGCUGAAAUUUAUUGUCACUUGUUACUAUGGAAAACAAUCAUUUGAGGGAUUUGUUCAGGGUAUCUUCACCUCGACCGGAACCACAAUUAUCUACCCAUCUACCUAUUGCACCUACUGAAAAUAUUGAAUAUGAAAUUCCUUCCGGUAUGAUAGAACAAUUACUAGCUAAUCCUUAUGCAGGAGAUGGAACCGAACAUCCUGAUAUGCACUUGAUAUAUGUAGAACAAAUUUGUGGAUUGUUCAAGGUUGCAGGUUUACCCGGAGAUGAAGUUAUGAAAAAGGUUUUCCCUUUAUCUUUGAAGGUAAAAGAAUUGGCAUGGUAUAGGCUAUGCGAUGAUAUUGGAUCUUGGAAUUGGAAUCGUUUGAAAUUGGUGUUCCAUCAAAUUUUUUAUCCUUUGCAUCUAGUUCAUCAUGAUCGGAAUUAUAUAUAUAAUUUUUGGCCUCAUGAAGGAGAAAGUAUCGCUAUAGCUUGGGGGAGGCUUAAGUCAAUGUUAUAUUCAUGGCCCAAUCAUGAGCUCUCAAGAAAAAAUAUUAUCCAGAACUUUUAUUCUCGGCUUUCUCAUAAUGAUCAAACCAUGCUCGAUACCUCUUGUGCUGGUUCUUUUAUGAAGAAGAAUAUUGAAUUCCGGUGGGAUCUUUUGGAAAGAAUUAAACACAACUCUGAAGAUUGGGAACUCGACGAAGGUAAAGAGUCAGGUAUUAAACUUAAGUAUGAUUCUGAUAAAUCUUUUAUGGAUACCGAUGCUUUUCAAAAGUUUCGCACUAAAUAUGGACUUGAAUCUGAGAUAGUAGCCUCCUUUCGUGAAUCAUUUUCUAUUCAUGUUGAUCUCCCUAAAGAUAAGUGGUUUAAAUAUCCCCCACCAAUUAAAGAAGAAAUUAAAGAACCUGUGCCAGUUAGAGAAGAAACUAUACUUUACAAUGUUGAUCCCGUUGUUCCUUCUGCUCUUAUUGAGAAACCACCUUUCCCUGUUAGGAUAAAGGAACAUGUUAAAGAUUCAACCGUGGUCAACAAAAGCUAUAUUAGAACCUAGUAUUACUAUGGUUAAAGAUCUCUUGGAAGAAGAUGUAGAUGGGCAUGUUAUUUACUUCUGUGAAGAAGCUGCUAGAAUUGCCAAACCUGAUAAAGAGGAUAAACAUAGACCUGUUGCUGGCAUGCCCGUUGUCUCAAUUAAAAUAGGAGAUCACUAUUAUCAUGGUUUAUGUGACAUAGGUGCUAGUGUGAGUGCUAUUCCUUACACUUUAUAUUAAGAAAUUAUGAAUGACAUAGCACCUGUAGAGAUAGAAGACAUAGAUGUUACUAUUAAACUUGCUAAUAGAGACACUAUAUCACCAAUUGGGAUUGUUAGAGAUAUUGAAGUCUUGCGCGGGAAAAUAAAAUACCCUACUGAUUUUCUUAUUCUUGGUUCCCCACAAGAUGACUUUUGUCCCCUUAUCUUUGGUAGACCUUUCUUGAACACCAUUAAUGCUAAAAUAUAUUGUAAGAAACAAACUGUCGGUGUUAGCUUUGGUGAUGAGUCUCAUGAGUUUAAUUUUUCCAAGUUUAGUAGAAAGCUUCAUGAAAAGGAACUGCCUAGUAAAGAUGAAUUAAUUGGUCUUGCUUCUAUUGCCGCGCCUCCUACUGAUCCACUAGAACAAUAUUUACUAGACCAUGAAAAUGAUUUCCAUAUGCAUGAAAGAAGUGGAAUAGAUAAUAUUUUCUUUGAACAACGUCCUCUGCUUAAACAUGAUUUGCCUAUUGAAACUCUAGGAGGUCCUCCUCCACCUAAAGGUGAUCUAGUGUUUGAAUUAAAACAAUUGCCAGGCAUUUUGCAAUAUGCUUCUCUUGAUGAAAAGAAGAUAUAUCCUGUUAUUAUUAGUGCUAACCUUUCAGAACAUGAAGUGAAGGAAAUAUGCCCUAGAGGCAAUAAUAAAGUUAUUAUUUAUUUCCUUAUAUCAUGAUAAAUGUUUAUUAUUCAUGCUAGAAUUGUAUUAACCGGAAACAUAAUACAUGUGUGAAUACAUAGACAAACUUAGUGUCACUAGUAUGCCUCUACUAGACUAGCUCGUUAAUAAAAAAUGGUUAUGUUUCCUAACCAUGAACAAUGUGUUGUUAUUUGAUUAACGAGGUCACAUCAUUAGUUGAAUGAUCUGAUUGACAUGGCCCAUUUCAUUAACUUAGCACCCGAUCGUUUAGUAUGUUGCUAUUGCUUUCUUCAUGACUUAUACAUGUUCCUAUGACUAUGAGAUUAUGCAACUCCUGUUUACCGGAGGAACACUUUGUGUGCUACCAAACGUCACAACGUAACUGGGUGAUUAUAAAGGAGCUCUAUAGGUAUCUCCAAAGGUAGAUGUUGGGUUGGCGUAUUUCAAGAUUAGGAUUUGUCACUCCGAUUGUCGGAGAGGUAUCUCUGGGCCCUCUCGGUAAUGAUCAUCACAUAAGCCUUGCAAGCACUGCAACUAAUAUGUUAGUUGUGAGAUGAUGUAUUACGGAACGAGUAAAGAGACUUGCCGGUAACGAGAUUGAACUAGGUAUUGGAUACCGACGAUCAAAUCUCGGGCAAGUAACAUACUGAUGACAAAGGGAACAACGUAUGUUGUUAUGCGGUCUAACCGAUAAAGAUCUUCGUAGAAUAUGUAGGAGCCAAUAUGGGCAUCCAGGUCCCGCUAUUGGUUAUUGACCGGAGACGUGUCUCAGUCAUGUCUACAUUGUUCUCGAACUGUAGGGUCCGCAUGCUUAACAUUACGAUGACAGUUAUUAUGAGUUUAUGCAUUUUGAUGUACCGAAGUUAGUUCGGAGUCCCGGAUGUGAUCACGGACAUGACGAGGAGUCUCGAAAUGGUCGAGACAUAAAGAUUGAUAUAUUGGAAGCCUAUAUUUGGAUAUCGGAAGUGUUCCGGGUGAAAUCGGGAUUUUACCGGAGUACCGGGAGGUUACCGGAAACCCCCGGGAGCCAUAUGGGCCUUAUUAGGCUUUAGUGGAAAGGUGAAAGGGGCUGCCCAUGGUGGGCUGCGCGCCUCCCCCCUCCCCUAGUCCUAUUAGGACUAGGAGAGGUGGCCGGCCACCUCUCUUUCUCUUUUCCCCUUGGGAAUCCUAUUUGGAAUAGGAUUGGGGGGGGGGGGAGUCCUACUCCCGGUAGGAGUAGGACUCCUCCUGCGCCUCCAUAGGGCUGGCCGCACCCCUCCCCCUUGGCUCCUUUAUAUACGGAGGCAGGAGGCACCUCUAGACACACAAGUUGAUCAUUGAGAUCGUUCCUUAGCCGUGUGCGGUGCCCCCUGCCACCAUAUUGCACCUCGAUCAUAUCGUUGUAGUGCUUAGGCGAAGCCCUGCGUCGGUAAUACAUCAAGAUCGUCACCACGCCAUCAUGCUGACGGAACUCCUCCCCGAAGCUUUGCUGGAUCGGAGCCCGGGGAUCGUCAUCGAGCUGUACGUGUGCUAAGAACCCGGAGGUGCCGGAGUAACGGUACUUGGAUCGGUCGGAUCGGGAAGAAGACAUACGACUACUUCCUCUACGUUGUGUCAACGCUUCUGUUGCGAUCUACAAGGGUACGUAGAUCAGACUCUCCCCCUCGUUGCUAUGCAUCACCAUGAUCUUGCAUGUGCGUAGGAUUUUUUUUGAAAUUACUACGUUCCCCAACAGUGGCAUCCGAGCCUAGGUUUUAUGGUUUGAUGUUAUUUGCACGAGUAGAACACAAGUGAGUUGUGGAUGAUACAAGUCAUACUGCCUACCAGCAUGUCAUACUUUGGUUUGGCGGUAUUGUUGGACGAGAUGACCCGGACCAACCUUACGCGUACGCUUACGCGAGACCGGUUCCCCCGACGUGCUUUGCACACAGGUGGCUUGCGGGCGACUGUCUCUCCAACUUUAGUUGAACCGAGUGUGGCUACGCCCGGUCCUUGCGAAGGUUAAAACGGAGUCUAUUUGACAAACUAUCAUUGUGGUUUUGAUGCGUAGGUGAGAUUGGUUCUUGCUUAAGCCCGUAGCAGCCACGUAAAACUUGCAACAACAAAGUAGAGGACGUCUAACUUGUUUUUGCAGGGCAUGUUGUGAUGUGAUAUGGUCAAGACAUGAUGCAAAAUUUUAUUGUAUGAGAUGAUCAUGUUUUGUAACCGAGUUAUCGGCAACUGGCAGGAGCCAUAUGGUUGUCGCUUUAUUGUAUGCAAUGCAAUCGCGAUGUAAUGCUUUACUUUAUCACUAAACGGUAGCGAUAGUCGUGGAAGCAUAAGAUUGGCGAGACGACAACGAUGCCACGAUGGAGAUCAAGGUGUCGCGCCGGUGACGAUGGUGAUCAUGACGGUGCUUCGGAGAUGGAGAUCACAAGCACAAGAUGAUGAUGGCCAUAUCAUAUCACUUAUAUUGAUUGCAUGUGAUGUUUAUCUUUUAUGCAUCUUAUCUUGCUUUGAUUGACGGUAGCAUUAUAAGAUGAUCUCUCACUAAAUUAGCAAGAAGUGUUCUCCCUGAGUAUGCACCGUUGCGAAAGUUCUUCGUGCUGAGACACCACGUGAUGAUCGGGUGUGAUAGGCUCUACGUUCAAAUACAACGGGUGCAAAACAGUUGCACACGCGGAAUACUCAGGUUAUACUUGACGAGCCAAGCAUAUACAGAUAUGGCCUCAGAACAUGGAGACCGAAAGGUCGAGCGUGAAUCAUAUAGUAGAUAUGAUCAACAUAAUGAUGUUCACCGAUGGAACUACUCCAUCUCACGUGAUGAUCGGACAUGGUUUAGUUGAUUUGGAUCACAUGAUCACUUAGAGGAUUAGAGGGAUGUCUAUCUAAGUGGGAGUUCUUAAGUAAUAUGAUUAAUUGAACUUAAAUUUAUCAUGAACUUAGUACCUGAUAGUAUCUUGCUUGUUUAUGUUGAUUGUAGAUAGAUGGCUCGUGCUGUUGUUCCAUUGAAUUUUAAUGCGUUCCUUGAGAAAGCAAAGUUGAAAGAUGAUGGUAGCAAUUACACAGACUGGGUCCGUAACUUGAGGGUUAUCCUCAUUGCUGCACAGAAGAAUUACGUCCUGGAAGCACCGCUGGGUGCCAGGCCUGCUGCUGGAGCAACACCAGAUGUUAUGAACGUCUGGCAGAGCAAAGCUGAUGACUACUCGAUAGUUCAGUGUGCCAUGCUUUACGGCUUAGAAUCGGAACUUCAAUGACGUUUUGAACGUCAUGGAGCAUAUGAGAUGUUUCAGGAGUUGAAGUUAAUAUUUCAAGCAAAUGCCCGGAUUGAGAGAUAUGAAGUCUCCAAUAAGUUCUAUAGCUGCAAGAUGGAAGAGAACAGUUCUGUCAGUGAGCAUAUACUCAAAAUGUCUGGGUAUAAUAAUCACUUGAUUCAAUUGGGAGUAAAUCUUCCAGAUGAUUGCGUCAUUGACAGAAUUCUCCAAUCACUGCCACCAAGCUACAAGAGCUUCAUGAUGAACUAUAAUAUGCAAGGGAUGAACAAGACUAUUCCCGAGCUCUUCGCAAUGCUGAAAGCUGCGGAGGUAGAAAUCAAAAAGGAGCAUCAAGUGUUGAUGGUUAACAAAACCACUAGUUUCAAGAAAAAGGGCAAAGGGAAGAAGAAGGGGAACUUCAAGAAGAACGGCAAGCAAGUUGCUGCUCAAGAGAAGAAACCCAAGUCUGGACCUAAGCCUGAAACUGAGUGCUUCUACUGCAAGCAGACUGGUCACUGGAAGCGGAACUGCCCAAAGUAUUUGGCGGAUAAGAAGGAUGGCAAGGUGAACAAAGGUAUAUAUGAUAUACAUGUUAUUGAUGUGUACCUUACUAAUGCUCGCAGUAGUACCUGGGUAUUUGAUACUGGUUCUGUUGCUAAUAUUUGCAACUCAAAACAGGGACUACAGAUUAAACGAAGAUUGGCUAAGGACGAGGUGACGAUGCGCGUGGGAAACGGUUCCAAAGUCGAUGUGAUCGCGGUACGCUACCUCUACAUCUACCUUCGGGAUUAAUAUUAGACCUAAAUAAUUGUUAUUUGGUGCCAGCGUUAAGCAUGAACAUUAUAUCUGGAUCUUGUUUGAUGCGAGACGGUUAUUCAUUUAAAUCAGAGAAUAAUGGUUGUUCUAUUUAUAUGAAUAAUAUCUUUUAUGGUCAUGCACCUUUGAAAAGCGGUCUAUUUUUGAUGAAUCUCGAUAGUAGUGAUACACAUAUUCAUAAUGUAGAAGCCAAAAGAUGCAGAGUUGAUAAUGAUAGUGCAAAUUAUUUGUGGCACUGCCGUUUAGGUCAUAUCGGUGUAAAGCGCAUGAAGAAACUCCAUACUGAUGGACUUUUGGAACCACUUGAUUAUGAAUCACUUGGUACUUGCGAACCGUGCCUUAUGGGUAAGAUGACUAAAACACCGUUCUCCGGCACUAUGGAGAGAGCAACAGAUUUGUUAGAAAUCAUACAUACCGAUGUAUGUGGUCCGAUGAAUAUUGAGGCUCGUGGAGGAUAUCGUUAUUUUCUCACAUUCAUAGAUGACUUAAGCAGAUAUGGGUAUAUCUACUUAAUGAAACAUAAGUCUGAAACGUUUGAAAAGUUCAAAGAAUUUUAGAGUGAAGUUGAAAAUCAUCGUAACAAGAAAAUAAAGUUUCUACGAUCUGAUCGUGGAGGAGAAUAUUUGAGUUACGAGUUUGGUGUACAUUUGAAAAACUGUGGAAUAGUUUCGCAACUCACUCCACCCGGAACACCACAGCGUAAUGGUGUGUCCGAACGUCGUAAUCGUACUUUACUAGAUAUGGUGCGAUCUAUGAUGUCUCUUACUGAUUUACCACUAUCGUUUUGGGGAUACGCUCUAGAGACGGCCGCAUUCACGUUAAACAGGGCACCAUCAAAAUCCGUUGAGACGACGCCUUAUGAACUAUGGUUUGGCAAGAAACCAAAGUUGUCGUUUCUGAAAGUUUGGGGCUGCGAUGCUUAUGUGAAAAAGCUUCAACCUGAUAAGCUCGAACCCAAAUUAGAGAAAUGUGUCUUCAUAGGAUAUCCAAAGGAAACUAUUGGAUACACCUUCUAUCACAGAUCCGAAGGCAAGACUUUUGUUGCUAAAAUCGGAAACUUUCUUGAGAAGGAGUUUCUCUCGAAAGAAGUGAGUGGGAGGAAAGUAGAACUUGACGAGGUAACUGUACCUGCUCCCUUGUUGGAAAGUAGUACAUCACAAAAAACUAUUUCUGUGACACCUACACCAAUAAGUGAGGAAGUUAAUGAUAAUGAUCAUGAAACUUCAGAACAAGAUACUACUGAACCUCGUAGAUCAACCAGAGUAAGAUCCGCACCAGAGUGGUACGGUAAUCCAGUUCUGGAAGUCAUGCUACUAGAUCAUGAUGAACCUACGAACUAUGAAGAAGCGAUGGUGAGCCCAGAUUCCGCAAAGUGGCUUGAAGCCAUGAAAUCUGAGAUGGGAUCCAUGUAUGAGAACAAAGUAUGGACUUUGGUUGACUUGCCCGAUGAUCGGCAAGCAAUUGAGAAUAAAUGGAUCUUCAAGAAAAAGACUGACGCUGACGGUAAUGUUACUGUCUAUAAAGCUCGACUUGUCGCAAAAGGUUUUUGACAAGUUCAAGGGGUUGACUACGAUGAGACCUUCUCACUCGUAGCGAUGCUUAAGUCUGUCCGAAUCAUGUUAGCAAUUGCCGCAUUUUAUAAUUAUGAAAUUUGGCAGAUGGAUGUCAAAACUGCAUUCCUGAAUGGAUUUCUGGAAGAAGAGUUGUAUAUGAUGCAACCGGAAGGUUUUGUCGAUCCAAAAGGAGCUAACAAAGUGUGCAAGCUCCAGCGAUCCAUUUAUGGACUGGUGCAAGCCUCUCGGAGUUGGAAUAAACGCUUUGAUAGUGUGAUCAAAGCAUUUGGUUUUAUACAGACUUUUGGAGAAGCCUGUAUUUACAAGAAAGUGAGUGGGAGCUCUGUAGCAUUUCUGAUAUUAUAUGUGGAUGACAUAUUGCUGAUUGGAAAUGAUAUAGAAUUUCUGGAUAGCAUAAAGGGAUACUUGAAUAAGAGUUUUUCGAUGAAAGACCUCGGUGAAGCUGCUUACAUAUUGGGCAUUAAGAUCUAUAGAGAUAGAUCGAGACGCUUAAUUGGACUUUCACAAAGCACAUGCCUUGACAAAAUUCUGAAAAAGUUCAAAAUGGAUCAAGCAAAGAAAGGGUUCUUGCCUGUGUUACAAGGUGUGAAGUUGAGUCAGACUCAAUGCCCGACCACUGUAGAAGAUAGAGAGAAAAUGAAAGAUGUUCCCUAUGCUUCAGCCAUAGGCUCUAUCAUGUAUGCAAUGCUGUGUACCAGACCUGAUGUGUGCCUUGCUAUAAGUUUAGCAGGGAGGUACCAAAGUAAUCCAGGAAUGGAUCACUGGAUAGCGGUCAAGAACAUCCUGAAAUACCUGAAAAGGACUAAGGAUAUGUUUCUCGUAUAUGAAGGUGACAAAGAGCUCACCGUAAAAGGUUAUGUUGAUGCAAGCUUUGACACUGAUCCAGACGAUUCUAAAUCGCAAACCGGAUACGUGUUUACAUUAAACGGUGGAGUUGUCAGUUGGUGCAGUUCUAAACAAAGCGUCGUAGCGGGAUCUACAUAUGAAGCGGAGUACAUAGCUGCUUCGGAAGCAGCGAACGAAGGAGUCUGGAUGAAGGAGUUCAUAUCCGAUCUAGGUGUCAUACCUAGUGCAUCGGGUCCAAUGAAAAUCUUUUGUGACAAUACUGGUGCAAUUGCCUUGGCAAAGGAAUCCAGAUUUCACAAGAGGACCAAGCACAUCAAGAGAUGCUUCAAUUCCAUCCGGGAUCUAGUCCAGGUGGGAGACAUAGAGAUUUGCAAGAUACAUACGGAUCUAAAUGUUGCAGACCCGUUGACUAAGCCUCUUCCACGAGCAAAACAUGAUCAGCAGCAAGGCUCCAUGGGUGUUAGAAUCAUUACUGUAUAAUCUAGAUUAUUGACUCUAGUGCAAGUGGGAGACUGAAGGAAAUAUGCCCUAGAGGCAAUAAUAAAGUUAUUAUUUAUUUCCUUAUAUCAUGAUAAAUGUUUAUUAUUCAUGCUAGAAUUGUAUUAACCGGAAACAUAAUACAUGUGUGAAUACAUAGACAAACUUAGUGUCACUAGUAUGCCUAUACUAGACUAGCUCGUUAAUCAAAAAUGGUUAUGUUUCCUAACCAUGAACAAUGUGUUGUUAUUUGAUUAACGAGGUCACAUCAUUAGUUGAAUGAUCUGAUUGACAUGACCCAUUUCAUUAACUUAGCACCCGAUCGUUUAGUAUGUUGCUAUUGCUUUCUUCAUGACUUAUACAUGUUCCUAUGACUAUAAGAUUAUGCAACUCCCGUUUACCGGAGGAACACUUUGUGUGCUACCAAACGUCACAACGUAACUGGGUGAUUAUAAAGGAGCUCUACAGGUAUCUCCAAAGGUAGAUGUUGGGUUGGCAUAUUUCGAGAUUAGGAUUUGUCACUCCGAUUGUCGGAGAGGUAUCUCUGGGCCCUCUCGGUAAUGAUCAUCACAUAAGCCUUGCAAGCACUGCAACUAAUAUGUUAGUUGUGAGAUGAUGUAUUACGGAACGAGUAAAGAGACUUGCCGGUAACGAGAUUGAACUAGGUAUUGGAUACCGACGAUCGAAUCUCGGGCAAGUAACAUACCGAUGACAAAGGGAACAACGUAUGUUGUUAUGCGGUCUGACCGAUAAAGAUCUUCGUAGAAUAUGUAGGAGCCAAUAUGGGCAUCCAGGUCCCGCUAUUGGUUAUUGACCGGAGACGUGUCUCGGUCAUGUCUACAUUGUUCUCGAACCAUAGGGUCCGCACGCUUAACGUUACGAUGACAGUUAUUAUGAGUUUAUGCAUUUUGAUGUACUGAAGUUAGUUCGGAGUCCCGUAUGUGAUCACGGACAUGACGAGGAGUCUUGAAAUGGUCGAGACAUAAAGAUUGAUAUAUUGCAAGCCUAUAUUUGGAUAUCGGAAGUGUUCCGGGUGAAAUCGGGAUUUUACCGCAGUACCGGGAGGUUACCGGAAACCCCCGGGAGCCAUAUGGGCCUUAUUAGGCUUUAGUGGAAAGGUGAAAGGGGCUGCCUAUGGUGGGCUGCGCGCCUCCCCCCCUCCCCUAGUCCUAUUAGGACUAGGAGAGGUGGCCGGCCACCUCUCUCUCUCUUUUCCCCUUGGGAAUCCUAUUUGGAAUAGGAUUGGGGGGGGGAGUCCUACUCCCGGUAGGAGUAGGACUCCUCCUGCGCCUCCAUAGGGAUGGCCGCACCCCUCCCCCUUGGCUCCUUUAUAUACGGAGGCAGGAUGCACCUCUAGACACACAAUUUGAUCAUUGAGAUCGUUCCUUAGCCGUGUGCGGUGCCCCCUGCCACCAUAUUCCACCUCGAUCAUAUCGUUGUAGUGCUUAGGCGAAGCCCUGCGUCGGUAAUACAUCAAGAUCGUCACCACGCCGUCGUGCUGACGGAACUCCUCCCCGAAGCUUUGCUGGAUCGGAGCCCUGGGAUCGUCAUCGAGCUGUACGUGUGCUAAGAACCCGGAGGUGCCGGAGUAACGGUGCUUGGAUCGGUCGGAUCGGGAAGAAGACAUACGACUACUUCCUCUACGUUGUGUCAACGCUUCUGUUGCAAUCUACAAGGGUACGUAGAUCAGACUCUCCCCCUCAUUGCUAUGCAUCACCAUGAUCUUGCAUGUGCGUAGGAAUUUUUUUGAAAUUACUACGUUCCCCAACAGUGGCAUCCGAGCCUAGGUUUUAUGGUUUGAUGUUAUUUGCACGAGUAGAACACAAGUGAGUUGUGGAUGAUACAAGUCAUACUGCCUACCAGCAUGUCAUACUUUGGUUCGGCGGUAUUGUUGGACGAGAUGACCCGGACCAACCUUACGCGUACGCUUACGCGAGACCGGUUCCCCCGACGUGCUUUGCACACAGGUGGCUUGCAGGCGACUGUCUCUCCAACUUUAGUUGAACCGAGUGUGGCUACGCCCGGUCCUUGCGAAGGUUAAAACGGAGUCUAUUUGACAAACUAUCGUUGUGGUUUUGAUGCGUAGGUGAGAUUGGUUCUUGCUUAAGCCCGUAGCAGCCACGUAAAACUUGCAACAAAAAAGUAGAGGACGUCUAACUUGUUUUUGCAGGGCAUGUUGUGAUGUGAUAUGGUCAAGACAUGAUGCUAAAUUUUAUUGUAUGAGAUGAUCAUGUUUUGUAACCGAGUUAUCGGCAACUGGCAGGAGCCAUAUGGUUGUCGCUUUAUUGUAUGCAAUGCAAUCGCGAUGUAAUGCUUUACUUUAUCACUAAACGGUAGCGAUAGUCGUGGAAGCAUAAGAUUGGCGAGACGACAAUGAUGCCACGAUGGAGAUCAAGGUGUCGCGCCGGUGACGAUGGUGAUCAUGACGGUGCUUCGGAGAUGGAGAUCACAAGCACAAGAUGAUGAUGGCCAUAUCAUAUCACUUAUAUUGAUUGCGUGUGAUGUUUAUCUUUUAUGCAUCUUAUCUUGCUUUGAUUGACGGUAGCAUUAUAAGAUGAUCUCUCACUAAAUUAGCAAGAAGUGUUCUCCCUGAGUAUGCACCGUUGCGAAAGUUCUUCGUGCUGAGACACCACGUGAUGAUCGGGUGUGAUAGGCUCUACGUUCAAAUACAACGGGUGCAAAACAGUUGCACACGCGGAAUACUCAGGUUAUACUUGACGAGCCAAGCAUAUACAGAUAUGGCCUCAGAACAUGGAGACCGAAAGGUCGAGCAUGAAUCAUAUAGUAGAUAUGAUCAACAUAAUGAUGUUCACCGAUGGAACUACUCCAUCUCACGUGAUGAUCGGACAUGGUUUAGUUGAUUUGGAUCACGUGAUCACUUAGAGGAUUAGAGGGAUGUCUAUCUAAGUGGGAGUUCUUAAGUAAUAUGAUUAAUUGAACUUAAAUUUAUCAUGAACUUAGUACCUGAUAGUAUCUUGCUUGUUUAUGUUGAUUGUAGAUAGAUGGCUCGUGCUGUUGUUCCAUUGAAUUUUAAUGCGUUCCUUGAGAAAGCAAAGUUGAAAGAUGAUGGUAGCAAUUACACGGACUGGGUCCGUAACUUGAGGGUUAUCCUCAUUGCUGCACAGAAGAAUUAUGUCCUGGAAGCACCGCUGGGUGCCAGGCCUGCUACUGGAGCAACACCAGAUGUUAUGAACGUCUGGCAGAGCAAAGCUGAUGACUACUCGAUAGUUCAGUGUGCCAUGCUUUACGGCUUAGAAUCGGGACUUCAAUGACGUUUUGAACGUCAUGGAGCAUAUGAGAUGUUUCAGGAGUUGAAGUUAAUAUUUCAAGCAAAUGCCCGGAUUGAGAGAUAUGAAGUCUCCAAUAAGUUCUAUAGCUGCAAGAUGGAAGAGAACAGUUCUGUCAGUGAGCAUAUACUCAAAAUGUCUGGGUAUAAUAAUCACUUGAUUCAAUUGGGAGUAAAUCUUCCAGAUGAUUGCGUCAUUGACAUAAUUCUCCAAUCACUGCCACCAAGCUACAAGAGCUUCAUGAUGAACUAUAAUAUGCAAGGGAUGAACAAGACUAUUCCCGAGCUCUUCGCAAUGCUGAAAGCUGCGGAGGUAGAAAUCAAAAAGGAGCAUCAAGUGUUGAUGGUUAACAAAACCACUAGUUUCAAGAAAAAGGGCAAAGGGAAGAAGAAGGGGAACUUCAAGAAGAACGGCAAGCAAGUUGCUGCUCAAGAGAAGAAACCCAAGUCUGGACCUAAGCCUGAAACUGAGUGCUUCUACUGCAAGCAGACUGGUCACUGGAAGCGGAACUGCCCAAAGUAUUUGGCGGAUAAGAAGGAUGGCAAGGUGAACAAAGGUAUAUAUGAUAUACAUGUUAUUGAUGUGUACCUUACUAAUGCUCGCAGUAGUACCUGGGUAUUUGAUACUGGUUCUGUUGCUAAUAUUUGCAACUCGAAACAGGGACUACGGAUUAAACGAAGAUUGGCUAAGGACGAGGUGACGAUGCGCGUGGGAAACGGUUCCAAAGUCGAUGUGAUCGCGGUCGGCACGCUACCUCUACAUCUACCUUCGGGAUUAAUAUUAGACCUAAAUAAUUGUUAUUUGGUGCCAGCGUUAAGCAUGAACAUUAUAUCUGGAUCUUGUUUGAUGCGAGACGGUUAUUCAUUUAAAUCAGAGAAUAAUGGUUGUUCUAUUUAUAUGAAUAAUAUCUUUUAUGGUCAUGCACCUUUGAAAAGCGGUCUAUUUUUGAUGAAUCUCGAUAGUAGUGAUACACAUAUUCAUAAUGUAGAAGCCAAAAGAUGCAGAGUUGAUAAUGAUAGUGCAAAUUAUUUGUGGCACUGCCGUUUAGGUCAUAUCGGUGUAAAGCGCAUGAAGAAACUCCAUACUGAUGGACUUUUGGAACCACUUGAUUAUGAAUCACUUGGUACUUGCGAACCAUGCCUUAUGGGUAAGAUGACUAAAACACCAUUCUCCGGCACUAUGGAGAGAGCAACAGAUUUGUUAGAAAUCAUACAUACCGAUGUAUGUGGUCCGAUGAAUAUUGAGGCUCGUGGCGGAUAUCGUUAUUUUCUCACCUUCACAGAUGACUUAAGCAGAUAUGGGUAUAUCUACUUAAUGAAACAUAAGUCUGAAACGUCUGAAAAGUUCAAAGAAUUUCAGAGUGAAGUUGAAAAUCAUCAUAACAAGAAAAUAAAGUUUCUACGAUCUGAUCGUGGAGGAGAAUAUUUGAGUUACGAGUUUGGUGUACAUUUGAAAAACUGUGGAAUAGUUUCGCAACUCACGCCACCCGGAACACCACAGCGUAAUGGUGUGUCCGAACAUCGUAAUCGUACUUUACUAGAUAUGGUGCGAUCUAUGAUGUCUCUUACUGAUUUACCGCUAUCGUUUUGGGGAUACGCUCUAGAGACGGCCGCAUUCACGUUAAACAGGGCACCAUCAAAAUCCGUUGAGAUGACGCCUUAUGAACUAUGGUUUGGCAAGAAACCAAAGUUGUCGUUUCUGAAAGUUUGGGGCUGCGAUGCUUAUGUGAAAAAGCUUCAACCUGAUAAGCUCGAACCCAAAUUAGAGAAAUGUGUCUUCAUAGGAUAUCCAAAGGAAACUAUUGGAUACACCUUCUAUCACAGAUCCAAAGGCAAGACUUUUGUUGCUAAAUUCGGAAACUUUCUUGAGAAGGAGUUUCUCUCGAAAGAAGUGAGUGGGAGGAAAGUAGAACUUGACGAGGUAACUGUACCUGCUCCCUUGUUGGAAAGUAGUACAUCACAGAAAACUGUUUCUACGACACCUACACCAAUAAGUGAGGAAGUUAAUGAUAAUGAUCAUGAAACUUAAGAACAAGAUACUACUGAACCUCGUAGAUCAACCAGAGUAAGAUCCGCACCAGAGUGGUACGGUAAUCCAGUUCUGGAAGUCAUGCUACUAGAUCAUGAUGAACCUACGAACUAUGAAGAAGCGAUGGUGAGCCCAGAUUCCGCAAAGUGGCUUGAAGCCAUGAAAUCUGAGAUGGGAUCCAUGUAUGAGAACAAAGUAUGGACUUUGGUUGACUUGCCCGAUGAUCGGCAAGCAAUUGAGAAUAAAUGGAUCUUCAAGAAAAAGACUGACGCUGACGGUAAUGUUACUGUCUAUAAAGCUCGACUUGUCGCAAAAGGUUUUCGACAAGUUCAAGGGGUUGACUGCGAUGAGACCUUCUCACCCGUAGCGAUGCUUAAGUCUGUCCGAAUCAUGUUAGCAAUUGCCGCAUUUUGUAAUUAUGAAAUUUGGCAGAUGGAUGUCAAAACUGCAUUCCUGAAUGGAUUUCUGGAAGAAGAGUUGUAUAUGAUGCAACCGGAAGGUUUUGUCGAUCCAAAAGGAGCUAACAAAGUGUGCAAGCUCCAGCGAUCCAUUUAUGGGCUGGUGCAAGCCUCUCGGAGUUGGAAUAAACGCUUUGAUAGUGUGAUCAAAGCAUUUGGUUUUAUACAGACUUUUGGAGAAGCCUGUAUUUACAAGAAAGUGAGUGGGAGCUCUGUAGCAUUUCUGAUAUUAUAUGUGGAUGACAUAUUGCUGAUUGGAAAUGAUAUAGAAUUUCUGGAUAGCAUAAAGGGAUACUUGAAUAAGAGUUUUUCGAUGAAAGACCUCGGUGAAGCUGCUUACAUAUUGGGCAUUAAGAUCUAUAGAGAUAGAUCGAGACGCUUAAUUGGACUUUCACAAAGCACAUGCCUUGACAAAAUUUUGAAAAAGUUCAAAAUGGAUCAAGCAAAGAAAGGGUUCUUGCGUGUGUUACAAGGUGUGAACUUGAGUCAGACUCAAUGCCCGACCACUGUAGAAGAUAGAGAGAAAAUGAAAGAUGUUCCAUAUGCUUCAGCCAUAGGCUCUAUCAUGUAUGCAAUGCUGUGUACCAGACCUGAUGUGUGCCUUGCUAUAAGUUUAGCAGGGAGGUACCAAAGUAAUCCAGGAAUGGAUCACUGGACAGCGGUCAAGAACAUCCUAAAAUACCUGAAAAGGACUAAGGAUAUGUUUCUCGUAUAUGGAGGUGACAAAGAGGUCACCAUAAAAGGUUAUGUUGAUGCAAGCUUUGACACUGAUCCGGACGAUUCUAAAUCGCAAACCGGAUACGUGUUUACAUUAAACGGUGGAGCUGUCAGUUGGUGCAGUUCUAAACAAAGCGUCGUAGCGGGAUCUACAUAUGAAGCGGAGUACAUAGCUGCUUCGGAAGCAGCGAACGAAGGAGUCUGGAUGAAGGAGUUCAUAUCCGAUCUAGGUGUCAUACCUAGUGCAUCGGGUCCAAUGAAAAUCUUUUGUGACAAUACUGGUGCAAUUGCCUUGGCAAAGGAAUCCAGAUUUCACAAGAGGACCAAGCACAUCAAGAGACGCUUCAAUUCCAUCCGGGAUCUAGUCCAGGUGGGAGACAUAGAGAUUUGCAAGAUACAUACGGAUCUGAAUGUUGCAGACCCGUUGACUAAGCCUCUUCCACGAGCAAAACAUGAUCAGCAGCAAGGCUCCAUGGGUGUUAGAAUCAUUACUGUAUAAUCUAGAUUAUUGACUCUAGUGCAAGUGGGAGACUGAAGGAAAUAUGCCCUAGAGGCAAUAAUAAAGUUAUUAUUUAUUUCCUUAUAUCAUGAUAAAUGUUUAUUAUUCAUGCUAGAAUUGUAUUAACCGGAAACAUAAUACAUGUGUGAGUACAUAGACAAACUUAGUGUCACUAGUAUGCCUCUACUAGACUAGCUCGUUAAUCAAAAAUGGUUAUGUUUCCUAACCAUGAACAAUGUGUUGUUAUUUGAUUAACGAGGUCACAUCAUUAGUUGAAUGACUUGAUUGACAUGACCCAUUUCAUUAACUUAGCACCCGAUCGUUUAGUAUGUUGCUAUUGCUUUCUUCAUGACUUAUACAUGUUCCUAUGACUAUGAGAUUAUGCAACUCCCGUUUACCGGAGGAACACUUUGUGUGCUACCAAACAUCACAACGUAACUGGGUGAUUAUAAAGGAGCUCUACAGGUAUCUCCAAAGGUAGAUGUUGGGUUGGCAUAUUUCGAGAUUAGGAUUUGUCACUCCGAUUGUCGGAGAGGUAUCACUGGGCCCUCUCGGUAAUGAUCAUCACAUAAGCCUUGCAAGCACUGCAACUAAUAUGUUAGUUGUGAGAUGAUGUAUUACGGAACGAGUAAAGAGACUUGCCGGUAACGAGAUUGAACUAGGUAUUGGAUACCGACGAUCGAAUCUCAGGCAAGUAACAUACCGAUGACAAAGGGAACAACGUAUGUUGUUAUGCGGUCUGACCGAUAAAGAUCUUCGUAGAAUAUGUAGGCAGGUCCCGCUAUUGGUUAUUGUCCGGAGACGUGUCUCGGUCAUGUCUACAUUGUUCUCGAACCGUAGGGUCCGCACGCUUAAUGUUACGUUGAUAAUUAUUAUGAGUUUAUGCAUUUUGAUGUACCGAAGUUAGUUCGGAGUCCCGGAUGUGAUCACGGACAUGACGAGGAGUCUCGAAAUGGUCGAGACAUAAAGAUUGAUAUAUUGGAAGCCUAUAUUUGGAUAUCGGAAGUGUUCCGGGUGAAAUCGGGAUUUUACCGGAGUACCGGGAGGUUACCGGAAACCCCCGGGAGCCAUAUGGGCCUUAUUGGGAUUUAGUGGAAAGGUGAAAGGGGCUGCCCAUGGUGGGCUGCGCGCCUCCCCCCUCCCCUAGUCCUAUUAGGACUAGGAGAGGUGGCCGGCCACCUCUCUCUCUCUUUUCCCCUUGGGAAUCCUAUUUGGAAUAGGAUUGGGGGGGGGGGGAGUCCUACUCCCGGUAGGAGUAGGACUCCUCCUGCGCCUCCAUAGGGCUGGCCGCACCCUUCCCCCUUGGCUCCUUUAUAUACGGAGGCAGGAGGCACCUCUAGACACACAAGUUGAUCAUUGAGAUCGUUCCUUAGCCGUGUGCGGCACCAUAUUCCACCUCGAUCAUAUCGUUGUAGUGCUUAGGCGAAGCCCUGCGUCGGUAAUACAUCAAGAUCGUCACCACGCCGUCGUGCUGACGGAACUACUCCCCGAAGCUUUGCUGGAUCGGAGCCCGGGGAUCGUCAUCGAGCUGUACGUGUGCUAAGAACUCAGAGGUGCCGGAGUAACGGUGCUUGGAUCGGUCGGAUCGGGAAGAAGACGUACGACUACUUCCUCUAUGUUGUGUCAACGCUUCCGUUGCGAUCUACAAGGGUACGUAGAUCAGACUCUCCCCCUCGUUGCUAUGCAUCACCAUGAUCUUGCGUGUGCGUAGGAUUUUUUUUGAAAUUACUACGUUCCCCAACACGAAGAACAAAGAUUAUUGAAAGUUCUAAGGAAGCAUCGAGAUGCUAUUGGAUAUACUCUUGAUGAUUUAAAGGGCAUUAAUUAGUCCCACUCUAUGUCAGCACAAAAUUAAUAUGGAACCUGAUGCUAAACCCGUUGUUGAUCACCAACAUCAGUUAAAUCCAAAAAUGAAGGAAGUGGUACGGAAAUCUUAAAACUUUUGGAAGCAGGUAUAAUCUAUCCUAUAGCUGAUAGUAGAUGGGUAAGUCCUGUUCAUUGUGUCCCUAAGAAAGGACGUAUAACUGUUGUUCCUAAUGGUAAGUAUGAACUUAUUCCACAAAGAAUUGUUACAGGCUAUAGAAUGGUAAUUGAUUUUAGAAAAUUAAACAAAGCAACUAGAAAAGAUCAUUGCCCUUUGCCUUUUAUUGAUCAAAUGCUUGAAAGAUUGUCUAAGCACACACAUUUUUGCUUCCUUGAUGAAUACUCUGGUUUUUCACAAAUACUUAUUUCUCAAUCUGAUCAAGAAAAGACCACUUCUACUUGUCCAUUUGGAACCUAUGCUUAUAGACGUAUGCCUUUCGGUUUAUGUAAUGCACCUGCUACUUUUCAAAGAUGUAUGGCUGCUAUAUUCCCUGACUUUUGUGAAAAGAUUGUUGAGGUUUUCAUGAAUGAUUUCUCUGUUUAUGGGAAGUAUUUUGAUGAUUUUUUAAGCACUCUUGAUCGAGUUUUGCAGAGAUGUGAACAAACAAAUCUUGUCUUGAAUUGGGAGAAGUGCCACUUUAUGGUUAAUGAAGGCAUUGUCUUGGGUCAUAAAAUUUCUGAAAGAGGUAUUGAAGCGGGCAAAGCUGAGGUUGAUGCAAUUGAGAAAAUGCCAUGUCCUAAAGAUAUAAAAGGUAUUCGUAGUUUCUUAGGUCAUGCUGGUUUCUAUAGGAGAUUUAUCAAAGACUUUUCUAAAAUUUCUAGGCCUCUUAUGAAUCUUUUGCAAAAGGAUAUUCCUUUUGUUUUUGAUGAUGAUUGUUUAGAAGCCUUUGAAACACUCAAGAAAGCCUUAAUUUCUGCACCUAUUGUUCAAACACCUGAUUGGAACCUUUUGAAAUUAUUUGUGAUGCUAGUGACUAUGCUGUUGGUGCUGUUCUAGGACAAAGAGUUGAUAGAAACUGAAUGUUAUUCAUUAUGCUAGUAAAACUCUAGACAGUGCUCAACGAAAGUAUGCUACUACUGAAAAAGAAUUCUUAGCAGUGGUGUUUGCUUGUGAUAAAUUUAGACCUUAUAUUGUUGAUUCCAAAGUAAUUGUUCACACUGAUCAUGCUGCUAUUAUAUAUCUUAUGAAAAAGAAAGAUGCUAAACCUAGACUAAUUCGAUGGGUUCUCUUGUUACAAGAAUUUGAUUUACAUAUCAUUGAUAGAAAAGGAGCUGAGAACCCCGUAGCUGAUAAUUUAUCUAGGCUUGAAAAUGUUCCUGAUGACCCAUUACCAUUGACGAUAGUUUUCCUGAUGAGCAGUUAGCUGCAAUAAAUGUUGCUCAUAGUACUCCUUGGUAUGCUGACUAUGCUAAUUACAUUGUUGCUAAAUAUUUACCACCUAGCUUUACAUAUCAAUAAAACAAAAAAAAUCUUCUAUGAUUUAAGACAUUACUUUUGGGAUGACCCACAUCUUUAUAAAGAAGGAGUAGAUGGUAUUAUUAGACGUUGUGUACCUAAGCAUGAAUGGGGACAAAUCCUACAGAAAUGUCACUCUGAAGCUUAUGGAGGGCAUCAUGCUGGAGAAAGAACUGCUCACAUGGUAUUGCAGUCUAGAUUUUAUUGGCCUACUCUCUUCAAGGGUGCCCGUAAGUUCAUCUUUUGUGAUGAAUGUCAAAGAAUAGGUAAUAUCGGUAAGCGUCAAGAAAUUUCUAUGAAUUAGUCACUUGCUGUUGAACCAUUUGAUGUUUGGGUAUUUGAUUACACGAGGCCUUUUCCUUCCUCUAAUGGGUAUACACAUAUUUUGGUUGCCGUUGAUUAUGUUAUUAAAUGGGUAGAAGCUAUUCCAACCAGUAGUGCUGAUCACAACACCUCUAUUAAAAUUCUUAAGGAAGUUAUUUUCCCAAGGUUUGGAGUCCCUAGAUAUUUAAUGACUGAUGGUGGUUCACACUUUAUUCAUGGUGCUUUCUGUAAAAUGCUUGCCAAGUAUGAUGUUAACCAUAGAAUUGCAUCACCUUAUCAUCCUCAUUCUAGUUGUCAAGUUGAACUUAGAAAUAGGGAAAUAAAAUUAAUUUUGCAAAAGACUGUCAAUAGGUCUAGGAAGAAUUGGUCUAAGAAAUUAGAUGAUGCACUUUGGGCUUAUAGAACAACAUAUAAAAAUCCUAUGGGUAUAUCUCCUUAUAAAAUGGUUUAUGGAAAAGCUUUUCAUUUGCCUAUUGAGUUAGAACAUAAAGCAUAUUGGGCAAUCAAAGAGCUUAAUUAUGAUUUCAAACUUGCUGGUGAAAAGAGGUUAUUUGAUAUUAGCUCAUUAGAUGAAUCGAAAACCCAAGAUUAUGAAAAUGCAAAAUUAUUGAAAGAAAAAGUUAAAAGAUGGCAUGACAAAAGAAUCCAAAUGCGUGAGUUAAAAGUUGGAGAAUGAUGACCCACAAGUAUAGGGGAUCUAUCGUAGUCCUUUCGAUAAGUAAGAGUGUCGAACCCAACGAGGAGCAGAAGGAAAUGAUAAGCGGUCUUCAGCAAGAUAUUUUCUGCAAGUACUGAAAUAAGUGGUAACAGAUAGUUUUGUGAUAAGAUAAUUUGUAAUGAGCAACAAGUAACAAAAGUAAAUAAAGUGCAUCAAGGUGGCCCAAUCCUUUUUGUAGCAAAGGACAAGCUUGGACAAACUCUUAUAUAAGGAAAAGCGCUCCCGAGGACACAUGGGAAUAUCGUCAAGCUAGUUUUCAUCACAUUCAUAUGAUUCACGUUCGGUACUUUGAUAAUUUGAUAUGUGGGUGAACCGGUGCUUGGGUGCUGUUCUUACUUGAACAAGCAUCCCACUUAUGAUUAACCUCUAUUGCAAGCAUCUGCAACUACAACAAAAGUAUUAAGGUAAACCUAACCAUAGCAUGAAACAUAUGGAUCCAAAUCAGCCCCUUACGAAGCAACACAUAAACUAGGGUUUAAGCUUCUGUCACUCUAGCAACCCAUCAUCUACUUAUUACUUCCCAAUGCCCUUCUCUAGGCCCAAAUAAUGGUGAAGUGUUAUGUAGUCGACGUUCACAUAACACCACUAGAGGCUAGACAACAUACAUCUCAUCAAAAUAUCGAACGAAUACCAAAUUCACAUGACUACUAAUAGCAAGACUUCUCCCAUGUUCUCAGGAACAAACGUAACUACUCACAAAGCAUAUUCAUGUUCAUAAUUAGAGGGGUAAUAAUAUGCAUAAAGGAUCUGAACAUAUGAUCUUCCACCAAAUAAACCAACUAGCAUCAACUACAAGGAGUAAUCAACACUACUAGCAACCUACUAGCACCAAUCCCGGACUUGGAGACAAGAAUUGGAUACAAGAGAUGAACUAGGGUUUUGAGAUAAGAUGGUGCUGGUGAAGAUGUUGAUGGAGAUUGCCCUCUCCCGAUGAGAGGAACGUUGGUGAUGACGAUGGCGAUGAUUUCCCCCUCCCGGAGGGAAGUGUCCCCGGCAGAACAGCUCUGCUGGUGCCCUAGAUUGGUUCCGCCAAGGUUCCGCCUUGUGGCGGCGGAGUCUCGUCCCGAAAGGUUGCUUCUUAUUUUUUUUCUCGACGAAAGACCUCAUAUAGCAGAAGAUGGGCAUCGGAGAGCCAACAGGGGGCCUUCGAUGAGGGAAGCAGAGGUUUCCAUGCGCUUUUAUGGUUGGAUGCAUAAAAUCUCAAUGCGAAAGAACGUCACUUUAUAUUGCCACUUGUGAUAUGAACCUUUAUUAUGCAGUCUAUCGCUUUUAUUACUUCCACAUCACAAGAUCGUAUAAAUCUUAUUUCCCCCACACCAAUCAAUCAUACAUAUUUAGAGCAAUUUUUAUUGCUUUGCACCGAUGACAACUUACUUGAAGGAUCUUACUCAAUCCAUAGGUAGAUAUGGUGGACUCUCAUGGCAAAACUGGUUUAAGGGUUUUGGAAGCACAAGUAGUAUCUCUACUUGGUGCUAAGAAUUUGGCUAGCAUGAGGGGGAAAGGCAAGCUCAACAUGUUGGAGGAUCCAUGAAAACAUACUUUAUCUCAGAUAUAAGAAAACAUAAUUCAUUAUGUUGUCUUCCUUGUCCAACAUCAACUCUUUAGCAUGUCAUAUUUUAAUGAGUGCUCCCAAUCAUAAAAGAUGUCAAUAAUAGUAUAUAUAUAUGUGAAACCUCUCUUUCCUUAUUACUUCCUAUUAAUUGCAACAAUGACCAAAGCUAUGUCUGCCACUCCCAACAACUUUUAACCAUCAUACUCUUUCUAUGUGAAGUCAUUACUCUCAACAAGAUCAAUAUGCACUCUUUGUUUCUUUUUAUUCUUAUUCUUUCUCUUUUAUUCACUCAAGAUCAUAGAAAGAUAAUCAAGCCCUUGACUCAACACAAAUCUUUAUUAUAUAUAUAUAGCUCACGAACUCGAUUACAUAGAGAGAUCAUAAAGCAAAACUCAAAACUAGAUCAUGCCAUAAACUUUAUUCUACUAGAUCAUGAUACUACUAAUAGGAUCAAACUAAGAAAAACGGUAAAGAUAGGAGCGUGAUGGUGAUACAAUACCGGGGCACCUCCCCCAAGCUUGGCGGUUGCCAAGGGGAGUGCCCAUACCCAAGUGAUUAUGUCUCCUUCUUUGUUGGUGAAGAGGGUGGAGGUGUUGUCGAUGAUGCAGACUUGUCAUCCAUCUUCCAAGGCAUAGGCUCACCAUCAUAGAAGGAUGAUCGAGUCUCCGGGAUCCUCAAAUCUGCAGCCAAACUCAUCCUUUUGAAUCUAUAUUCAUACUCAUAGUUUUGGUUUUGCAGGUCAUAGAUUUGGGCUUGGAGGUGCUCGAUCUUCUCAUGAAGCUUCAAGAUGGCCUCCCCGAUGUUGUCAGCAUCCAACUUGUGGUUGCUAGUGAACUCCGCGAUCAUCAUGUGGUUGGAGUUGAGUCCACGUUCCACCAUCCCUUGACACUUGAAAACUUGUUGCUCCACUGCUUUGAGCCUCGUCUCCACGCUUCCGGUCCCCUUUGGUCCCUCUUCAUUGUGGAUGUGCAGCAACCCAUCAUGCAACUCAAUGGUUUGAGGGUGUCGCAGCACCUCCGCGAGGUAAGGGUUGAUGACCUUCUCGAAGAACUUGUCCUUGGAAGCACUUGGGGACGUCAUGAUAAUCUAGAUCUGUCAGAAAAACAGCUCGAAACAAGAACAGAGGAGAAUUGCGUGAUACGGGAAUCAAAACCUUGAGGAGAAUAUAUGAUGAAUUUUUACCGACCAAAAUACGUAUCGUGCAAGAAAACGGAGUCCGGAAGGCACACGAGGUGCUCACGAGGUAGGGGGGCGCACCCAGAGGGAGGGGGGGGGUGCCCUCCACCCUCGUGAGCACCUCGUGUGCCUUCCAGACUGCUACUUAUUUUUCUAUUUUUCUAAAUAUUCCAAAACGGAGAAAUAUUGCCUUAAAACUUGUUUUGGAGUCGGUUUACUUACCGUACCACAUACCUAUUCCUUUUCGGAGUCUGAAAUGGUCUGGAAAGUGUCCCUUAUGUAUUCCUCCGGGGUUACGGUUUCAAUAACAUUGGUUUGAACAUUUAUAGGAUUACCUGAGAUAUAAUGUUUAAUUCUUUGACCGUUCACCACCUUUGGAUUUGUGCCUUCGAAAUUGUUGAUUGUUAUGGCACCGGAACGAUAGACCUCCUCGAUAACGUAGGGGCCUUCCCAUUUUGAGAGAAGUUUUCCUGCAAAAAAUCUUAAACGAGAGUUGUAUAGCAAUACAUAAUCACCUACGUUAAACUCACGCUUUUGUAUCCUUUUGUCAUGCUAUCUUUUAACUUUUUCAUUAAACAAUUUGGCAUUUUCGUAGGCUUGGGUUCUCCAUUCAUGAAGUGAGCUAAUAUAAAAUAACCUCUUCUCACCGGCAAGUUUGAAAUCAUAAUUGAGCUCUUUAAUAGCCCAAUAUGCCUUAUGUUCUAGUUCGAGAGGUAAAUGACAUGCUUUUCCAUAAACCAUUUUAUACGGGGACAUACCCAUAGGAUUCUUAUAUGCAGUUCUAUAGGCCCAUAAUGCAUCAUCAAGUUUCUUGGACCAAUUCUUUCUAGACCUAUUGACCGUCUUUUGCAAAAUUAAUUUGAGUUCUCUAUUACUCAAUUCUACUUGACCACUAGACUGUGGGUGAUAAGGAGAUGCAAUUCUAUGAUUAACAUCAUAUUUAGCAAGCAUUUUACGGAAAGCACCAUGAAUAAAAUGUGAACCACCAUCAGUCAUUAAAUAUCUAGGAACUCCAAACCUUGGAAAGAUAACUUCUUUAAGCAUUUUAAUAGAAGUGUUAUGAUCAGCACUACUAGUUGGAAUAGCUUCUACCCACUUAGUAACGUAAUCAACAGCAACUAAGAUAUGUGUAUAACCAUUAGAGGAAGGAAAAGGUCCCAUAUAGUCAAAGCCCCAAACAUCAAAUGGUUGAAUAACAAGUGAAUAAUUCAUAGGAAUUUCUUGACGUCUACUAAUAUUACCAAUUCUUUGACAUUCAUCACAAGAUAAGACAAACUUACGGGCAUCCUUGAAGAGAGUAGGCCAAUAAAAACCAGAUUGUAGUACCUUAUGUGCAGUUCUAUCUCCAGCAUGGUGUCCUCCAUAAGCUUCGGAGUGACACUUGCGUAGGAUCUGUUCCUGUUCAUGCUCAGGUACACAACGUCUAAUAACACCAUCUACUCCUUCUUUAUAAAGAUGUGGGUCAUCCCAAAAGUAAUGUCUCAAAUUAUAGAAAAACUUUUUCUUUUGCUGAUAUGUGAAACUAGGUGGUAUAAAUUUAGCAAAAAUGUAAUUAGCAUAAUAAGCAUACCAUGGAGUACUACGAGAAGUAUUUAUGACGUUUAGUUGUUCAUCAGGAAAGCUAUCAUCAAUAGGUAGUGGGUCAUCAAGAAUAUUUUCUAACCUAGACAAGUUGUCUGCAACGGGGUUCUCAGCUCCCUUUCUAUCAACAAUAUGCAGAUCAAAUUCUUGUAGCAAGAGAACCCAUCUAAUAAGUCUAGGUUUAGCAUCUUUCUUUUCCAUAAGAUAUUUAAUAGCAGCAUGAUCGGUGUGAAUAGUUACUUUAGAAUCAACAAUAUAAGGUCUAAACUUAUCACAAGCAAAUACAACUGCUAAGAAUUCUUUUUCAGUUGUAGCAUAAUUUCUUUGAGCAUUGUCUAAAGUUUUACUAGCAUAAUGUAUAACAUUUAAUUUCUUAUCGACUCUUUGCCCUAGAACAGCACCUACAGCAUAAUCACUAGCAUCACACAUAUUGUUCAGCCACCUGAUUGGAAUUCUUAGCACCUGAUUGGAAUUUACCCUUUGAAAUUAGGGACAAUUGCAUUUUUGCCCCUAGUUGGUUCCUACCCACGGGGUUUUCCCUUACUUUUCGAGCUUGCUCAGUUUUGCCCUUACUUUUUCCGUCGUGGUCCCUCGAAUGCCCUUUGACCGUUUGACCAAAACUUUGAAAAUUCAUAACUAAUUCAUAUGAACUCAGGAAAAUGCAAAUAAGAUAUGAAAAUCUUCAGAUAAACAUUACCUUUAUGUGCAUAUCAUUCGCAUUCGGGACAACAACACCCUUUAAACUAACUGAGGUAAUUAAUGUUAUUAACAUUAUUAAAAAUAAAAAGGUAUAAACAAUAUUUUUCAUGAAUAAAAAUUACAUGCAAAUGUAGGUGAUGUUUCCUGAACAUCCAGAUAUCUUAUUUGCAUUUUUCUGAGUUCGUAUCAUCUUGUUAUGAAUGUUCUAACAACUUUGACCAUUAUUUGGAAACAUCAUAACAAAUUGAUAAGAACUCAGAAAAAUGCAAAUAAGAUAUCAUGAUGUUCAGGAAACAUCACCUACAUUUGCAUGUAAUUUUUAUUCAUGAAAAAUAUAUUGUUUAUACCUUUUUAUUUUUAAUAAUGUUAAUAACAUUAAUUACCUCAGGUAGUCUAAAGGGUGCUUUUGUCCUGAAUGGAAAUGAUAUGCACAUAAUGGUAAUGUUUAUCCAAACAUUUUAAUAUCUUAUUUGCAUUUUUCUGAGUUCAUAUGAAUUAGUUAUGAAUUUUCAAAGUUUUGGUCAAAUGGUCAAAGGGCAUUCGAGGGACCUCGACGGAAAAAGUAAGGGCAAAACUGAGCAAGCUCGAAAAGUAAGGGCAAAACCCGUGGGUAGGAACCAACUAGGGGCAAAAAUGCAAUUGUCCCUAAUUUCAAAGGGUAAAUUCCAAUCAAGUGGCUGAACAACAGGUGCAGAGAUCAAUGCUUUCUUAAGUAUUUCAAAUGCUUCUACACAAUCAUCAUCAAAGACAAAUGGUAUAUAUUUUUGUAAUAAAUUAGUCAGAGGCCGAGAAAUUUUUGAGAAGUCCUUAAUGAACCUUCUAUAAAAUCCGGCAUGACCAAGGAAACUUCUUAUACCUUUGAUGUCCUUGGGACAUGGCAUUUUUUCAAUAGCAUCAACCUUGGCUUUAUCAACUUCAAUACCUCUUUCAGAAACUUUAUGCCCCAAGACAAUACCUUCAUUAACCAUAAAGUGGCACUUUUGCCAGUUCAAGACAAGAUUAGUUUCUUCACAUCUCUGCGAAACUCGAUCAAGUUUGCUUAAGCAAUCAUCAAAAGAAGAUCCAUAGAUGGAAAAGUCGUCCAUGAAAACCUCACAAAUCUUUUUACAAAAGUCAAAGAAUAUAGCCAUCAUGCAUCUUUGAAAGGUAGCAGGUGCAUUACAUAAACCAAAAGGCAUACGUCUAUAAGCAAAAGUACCAAAAGGGCAUGUAAAAGUAGUCUUUGAUUGAUCUUUAGCCGACACAGGUAUUUGAGAGAAACCAGAAUAACCAUCUAGAAAGCAGUAGUGUGUAUGUUUGCAUAAUCUUUCUAGCAUUUGAUCAAUAAAAGGUAAGGGGUAAUGAUCUUUCUUAGUAGCCUUAUUUAAUUUGCGGAAAUCAAUUACCAUCCUAUAUCCUGUAAUAAUUCUUUGUGGAAUCACUUCAUCUUUAUCAUUAGGAACAACAGUAAUACCUCCCUUCUUAGGGACACAAUGGACAGGACUUACCCACUGACUAUCAGCAACGGGAUAAAUUAUACCUGCCUCCAGAAGCUUUAGUAUUUAUUUUCUUACCACUUCUUUCAUUUUAGGAUUCAAACGUUGUUGAGGAUCACGAACUAGUUUGGCAUCUGCUUCCAAAUUUAUUUUAUGUUGACAUAGAGUGGGACUGAUGCCCUUAAGAUCAUCAAGAGUAUAUCCAAUAGCAGCACGGUGCUUUUUCAGAGUUUUCAAUAAUCUUUCUUCUUCAUGCUCUGAAAGGUUAGCACUAAUAAUAACAGGAUAUACAUUCUUUUCAUCAAGAUAAGCAUAUUUAAGAUUAUCAGGCAAAGGUUUAAGCUCAAACACGGGAUCACCCUUGGGUGGAGGAGGAUCCCCUAGGAUUUCAACAGGAAAAUUGUGUUUCAAAAUAGGCUCUUGUUUAAAGAAUACUUCAUCUAUUUCCCUUCUUUCAUUCAUGAACAUAUCAUUUUCAUGGUCUAGCAAAUAAUGUUCUAAAGGAUCACUAGGAGGUACGACAAUAGAAGCAAGACCAAUAAUUUCAUCCUUACUAGGUAAUUCUUCUUCAUGAUGUUGUUUACUAAAUUUAGAGAAACUAAACUCAUGAAUCAUAUCAUCCAAGCCAAUAGUAACAACAUUCUUUUCGCAAUCUAUCUUAGCAUUAACAAUGCUCAAGAAGGGUCUACCAAAUAUAAUUGGACAAAAGCUAUCUUGUGGGGAACCAAGAACAAGAAAAUCAGCAGGAUAUCUAGUUUUCCCACACAAGACUUCAACAUCUAUAACAAUUCCUACUGCCGAUAUAAUAUCUCUAUUGGAAAGUUUAAUUGUAACAUCAAUAUCUUCUAUCUCAGCGGGUGCAAUUUCAUGUUUAAUUUCUUUGUAUAAAGUAUGCGGUAUAACACUAGCACUAGCACCUAUAUCACAUAAGCCAUGAUAACAAUGAUCUCCUAUUUUGACAGAAAUAACAGGCACGCCUACCAUAGGUCUAUGUUUAUCUUUAGCUCCAGGUUUAGCAAUUCUAGCAGUUUCACUGCAGAACUAAAUAACAUGCCCAUCAAUAUUAUCAGACAAGAGAUCUUUAACAAUAGCAAUAUUAGGUUCUACUUUAACUUGCUCAGGAGGUGUAUAAGUUCUAAUAUUGCUUUUACGAACCACAGUUGAAGCUUUAGCAUGAUCCUUUAUUCUAACAGGGAAAGGUGGUUUCUCAACAUAAGAAGUAGGAACAAUAGGAUCAUUAGAAGUGAUAGUCUUUUCUUCAACUUUAAUAGGUGCAACUACUUUUACUUCUAUGGGAGGAUGAUAUUUAAACCACUUCUCCUUGGGGAGAUCAACAUAAGUAGCAAAAGAUUCACAGAAAGAAGCUACUAUCUCAGAGUCAAGUCCAUAUUUAGUGCUAAACUUACGGAAAAUAUCGGUAUCCAUAAAAGAUUUAACACAAUCAAACUUAGGUGUCAUACCUGACUCCUUACCUUCGUCGAGAUCCCAAUCUUCAGAGUUGCGUUUAAUUCUAUCCAAUAAAUCCCAUUUAAAUCAAUAGUCUUCAUCAUAAAAGAGCCAUCACAAGAAGUAUCGAGCAUGGUGCGAUUGUUUUCAGAAAGCCGGGCAUACAAGUUUUGAAUAAUUGUUUCUCUUGGGAGAUCAUGAUUGGGGCAUGAAUAUAACAUUGAUUUAAGCCUCCCCCAAGCUUGAGCGAUGCUUUCUCCUUCGCAAGGCCAAAAAUUAUAUAUAUAAUUGCGAUCACGAUGAACAAGAUGCAUAGGAUAAUACUUUUGAUGAAAUUCCAAUUUCAAUCUUCUAUAGUUCCAUGAUCUCAUAUCAUCACAUAGCCUAUACCAUGUCAAUGCAUCUCCCUUCAAAGAUAAAGGGAAGACCUUCUUCUUAGAAACAUCAUUGGGUAUACCUGCAAGCUUAAAUAAUCCACAAACUUCAUCCACAUAUAUUAGGUGCUCAUCAGGAUGCUUUGUUCCAUCUCCUGUAAAAGGAUUAGCUAGCAGUUUUUCUAUCAUACCCGAAGGAAAUUCAAAGGGAACAUUUUCAUUUUCAGUAGGUUCAGUAGGUUGAGGAGCAACUCUUUGCUCUACUGGACGGGGUGAAGAUACCCCGAACAAGCCCCUCAGAGGAUUACUUUCCAUAGUAACAAGCGACAGUAAAUUUCAGCACACUAUAUAAAUUUUUCCUUACCAAAUUCCACCUACCAAAGGCGCUUCACUCCCCGGCAAUGGCACCAGAAAAGAGUCUUGAUGACCCACAAGUAUAGGGGAUCUAUCAUAGUCCUUUCGAUAAGUAAGAGUGUUAAACCCAAGGAGGAGCAGAAGGAAAUGAUAAGCGGUUUUCAGCAAGGUAUUUUCUGCAAGUACUGAAAUAAGUGGUAACAAAUAGUUUUGUGAUAAGAUAAUUUGUAACGAGCAACAAGUAACAAAAGUAAAUAAAGUGCAGCAAGGUGGCCCAAUCCUUUUUGUAGCAAAGGACAAGCCUAGACAAACUCUUAUAUAAGGAAAAGCGCUCCCGAGGACACAUGGGAAUAUCGACAAGCUAGUUUUCAUCACGUUCAUAUGAUUCACGUUCGGUACUUUGAUAAUUUGAUAUGUGGGUGGACCGGUGCUUGGGUGCUGUUCUUAUUGAACAAGCAUCCCACUUAUGAUUAACCUCUAUUGCAAGCAUCCGCAACUACAACAAAAGUAUUAAGGUAAACCUAACUGUCGGUGUCAAAACCGUCGGAUCUCGGGUAGGGGGUCCCGAACUGUGCGUCUAGGCCGGAUGGUAACAGGAGGCAGGGGACACAAUGUUUUACCCAGGUUCGGGCCCUCUUGAUGGAGGUAAAACCCUAUGUCCUGCUUGAUUAAUAUUGAUGAUAUGGGUAGUACAAGAGUAGAUCUACCACGAGAUUGAGGAGGCUAAACCCUAGAAGCUAGCCUAUGGUAUGAUUGUAUGUUAUGGUUGUUGUCCUACGGACUAAAACCCUUCGGUUUAUAUAGACACCGAAGAGGGUUAGGGUUACACAAGGUCGGUUACAAAGGAGAAGAUAUCCAUAUCCGUAUUGCCUAGCUUGCCUUCCACGCCAAGUAGAGUCCCAUCCGGACACGAGACAAAGUGUUCAAUCUUGUAUCUUCAUAGUCUAACAGUCCGGCCAAAGGAUAUAGUCCAGCUGUCCGGAGACCCCCUAAUCCAGGACUCCCUCAGUAGCCCCUGAACCAGGCUUCAAUGACGAUGAGUUCGGCGUGCAGUAUUGUCUUCGGCAUUGCAAGGCGGGUUCCUUCUCCGAAUACAUCAUAGAAGAAUUUGAACACUAGGAUAGUGUCCGACCCUGCAAAAUAAGUUCCACAUUCCACCAUAGAGAGAAUAAUAUUUUCGUAGAUCUAGUUUGCUGGCUUGUUUUGGCAGCAUGACGUUAUGUCAUGGCCCGGUGAUUAUUUGAACCGUUUCCUUCAACCAGCCCCGGACAUAACGCGAGGCAGUUUUUCGACACGUCUUGUCAAAGCAGAGAUCGUGUUCCCAUAUUACGGGAUUCUCAUCAAUACGGGUGUGGGUAACUCAACCGCGCCAUCAAUUACGGCGCUUGGGGGAUAAGUGAGUUUUAUCAGGCAAGUGGGGACGCUUAGUUUUGUCCGCCCAUAUAAAGGGAUAAGGAUUCACCUUUCUAUCCACGCCUUCUUCCUCCCUUGCUCAUCCGUUUUCGCACACUCGAGCUCUAGCGCCCAAGUCCACACUUCCCACCUCAACCUUCUCCAACCAUGUAUGGAGCGGGAGGCAGGUGGAUGGUCUCCUCCAUCACGGAGGGAGACAUCAAGAAACUGAGGAGAGCCGGAUACCUGCCCGACGACAUCGCGCACCGGCUCCCAGAUGAGGGGCAGCUCAUCCCCACCCCCAGGCCCCAUGAGAGGGUAGUAUUCCUCACCCAUUUCCUCAGCGGACUGGGAUUCCCUCUCCAUCCAUUCGUCCGGGGGCUCAUGUUCUAUUACGGCCUGGAUUUCCACGAUCUGGCCCCGAACUUCAUCCUCAACAUCUCGGCGUUUAUCGUCGUGUGCGAGGCCUUCCUCCACAUCAAGCCCCACUCCGGCUUAUGGCUAAAGACCUUCAAUGUCAAGCUGAAGGUGGUGGGCGGCCGCCAGGCGGAGUGCGGAGGCACCAUGGUGGGAAAGAUGCCCAACGUAACAUGGAUUGAGGGCUCCUUUGUGGAAACCAUAAAGGGGUGGAAAUCGGGGUGGUUCUACAUCACCGAGCCGCGCGACCCUGUAUGGGCAGCGGCCCCCGAGUUCCGAUCUGGCAACCCCACGCGGCUGACCUCCUGGAAAGAGAAGGGCCUGUCCUGGGGUAGUUCGGAAGAGCUGACCGGACUCCAAACAUGUAUUCAAAACAUGGUGAACAAGAAGCUCAAGCUCGUCAACAUAGUCCAAGUUAUGCUCAUCCGCCGGAUCCUCCCGUGCCAAAAACGGGAGUUCAACUUGUGGGAGUUUGACCCGGCGCAGCACCGAACUCUGAACAGGCUCUUUAACACGACUCAUGAAGAUGCCUGGAGGGUGCUGUUCAAAAGUGCCGAGGUCCCCCCUCCUAUUACUAAGGAUCGCGGAUUCAGCGCAAAGCGCCAAGCCAGUGCAGUAAGCUGCUUUACCUUUCACAGGAUACUUAUUUUUUUAUAGAUUGACUCUAUGCGGGAUCUAAACUGCCGUACCUUUGACAGGACUGGCAGAAGAUGGCCGGACAGAUCGACUGUCCGGCUCCUUUGCCCGAAGGCCCCGCAGACGCUCUUCUGGCGAAGAUGUUGACUCCGGCCCCUUAUACGGUGCCGGAGAAGACCAAGAAGGCCAAGGGAACCCGAGAGAGUUCCCGACGCCAGGCGUCGUCGGACUCACCGUCCGAUGACUCUGCGACGCACUCUUCCCCCGAAGACGAGGAAGAAGAAGAAGAAGAUGCUCCCCCACCGACUGGGGGAGACAGGAAAAGGAAGGCCACCCCAACUGGGGGGGCCGAAGGGUCCAAGAAGGGAAGGACUCUCCUUCCGGACAGCUCCACCGCCGCCGACGAAGGCGAAGACGAGUGGUUGCCCAGGGCCAAGCCCCCGGGGAGAUCGUAAGUAUUCAGAUACCAGAGUAACCCAUAGGAUUCCUUUGUUGCACUACUUUCCCUAACGCCGAACACAAUUAUGCAGGCCGCCAUGAGCCAGUAUUGAUGUAUCGUCGGACGGCUCCUUGGGUUUGUCGGACAUGGAUAGAGAUCCAGUCCCGACCGCCACCUCCCCUCAUCCUGCCGACGACGCCGAGGUGUUGUCUCAAGAGGCACCAGAUUGAGGGGAGACAAUCCCGGAGGCGCCUCAAGGCGACCUUCCGGACUUCAGGAGCCGAGGGGACGGGGCCCCUGAGAGCUAAGAGUUCGGCUCUCAGCCGAACACCGCACCGGAACCUCCAGCGGUUCCAGGCUCGGGCAGGCGGCCUCCUUCUAAGAGGGGCAAGACGCCUGUGCCGGUGACCUCUGUCCAUCCAGAGGCGCCGGACAAUCUGCUGGAAGCGCUUUGCAGCGCUUCCAUCGACGAGGAGCACCGCACUAUCAUGAGUGCGGUGAUCCAGAAGGUUCAGUCCGCCAAGAGCGGAUUGACUGAAGCCUGUGCCAGCCUUCUAACAGGCUUCGAGGUAAGUGUUUUAAAAUGUAGUAGAAAUAUUACCGCAUAGACAGUAGCCCCUGAUGCUUUGUUCGGUGUUCACAAAGAAAAGCUGAACAAAGGACCAAAUAAUAUCGCAGGAGUCUAAUAUAAGUGUGUCAAUAUGCAUAUGCAGGAUUCGCUGCUGGCGUCCGCCGCACUGACUGCGGAGGUCGCCGUAUUGAAGCAGGACCUCGAGGGGUCCAAGAAAGAGCUUGGCCUUGCCAAGAGGUAGCUCGAGGAGAACAAGGGUAAGUAAUACCCUGUCUAUAGAUAUGUAUAUAUAAAAGAGGACGCGAUUGCAAAAUGACAUGAUCAUCGUAUGUUUGUCAGGGGCCACGACCGAGGUGGCGACCCUGAAGCAAGCGCUAACCAAGGCCGAAGAUAAAGCAGCCAAGGAGCGCACCGAGCGAGAGAAGCACGAGGCUCAGGUGGGUGAGGUGCAGCAAGAGCUCCAGGCUCUCGUGGCGAAGCACGAGGCGUUGGAGCUUGACUCAAAGACGCGGGAGUUUGAGCUUGCCGUGGCCCUCGAGAGUGUAAAAAGUGCCAAGGCCGAAGCCCAAAUGGCCCUCCAAGAGAUCGACGCGAUGAAGAAGAUAGCGGCGGGUAAGGCUUUCUAUAUGCAAAGCAAGCAUGUAAAAGUAAAUUACCGAUUACUUACCCGGAUCCGGAGCUCUUCAGGAGCAUUCGCAGAUUUGCCCCGCAGUGUGUCCGAUGCCGCACAAUUUUACCAGGCCGAGGACGGAAGCUCGACGGAGAAGCUGUUCUGGUCUCAGUAUGCUGAGGACGGACAUCCGAUGCCAAUGAGCGACCAGCUGAAGCAGAUGGUCGAGCUACAUAAGGCGGCCGAUCAGGCCAUGAAGAGAUUUAUAGUCCGGCUGUGGCCUGGCGAUGCCCUUUCGAACAGCUUCUUCGGCUUGGUGAGGCGGCUUGUGGAUGUCUGCCCACGGCUGGAGGCCGUCAAGCGAUCUGUCUGCAUUGAAGGUGCACGCCGGGCUUUCGCCCGUGUGAAAUUGCAGUGGGUCAAGCUAGACGUCGUGAAGCUGAUCAAGGAGGGGCCGCCGGAGGGCAAGGAGCACCGCCACCCCGAGAUGUACUACGAGGGGUUCUACCGGGUGCCCGUCUUAUCACGGAUGAGUGUUCAAAAGAUGUAAUAUUUGAUUGAGACUUGCUCGUUUUAUCCUGUAUUUAUGAAAACUUGUUUCAUAUGCGCUAUGCAACGCUUGUUUGAAUUUAAAAUAUUACCUUUUGUUUGGCUGUUUAUCCAAUCUGAGAGAUGGCUAGUCCUCGGCUUCUGCCCCCAUGCCAUGAGUGCUGGGGUGUUCGGGAUAAACCUGAGCACUCUUGUUCCCAUGUUUGGGUCCUUCGAGGGAGGUGCUCAGCACAGCGAACAAGGCAACCGGACUAACAAUGCUUUAUCACUCUCACUUAGCCAUAGAAUUCUAUAAUUUUAAAUUUUGGCGAAGCCCCUGGUAUCGGAAGGCCGAAUUUGGGGCGCGAUACACGCCUUUAAGCCGGAUAGGGCCGGCCCCUCGCUCUAAGCGGCAUAAGUCUUUAGGGACUCGAAAACCUCGCCGAACAGCGACCAGUCUCUCGCCUUAUCAUGACAGUCAGUUUUAGCUUUCUCUACUGAGGUGCUGAAUCCAGCAGAACCGGGGCACAAUCGCAGUAGUUCUCCUAGCACUACCUUAGCCGAUAGAGCGGAACGUAAGGUACCAAAACAUAGGAGCUGGGCAAACCCAACAUUUGACCAAAGACAUGAUUCGGAGCUGAUGCAUAUAAUGCUAUAAGUUCGGGGUGCCACACUUGUGAAAGUGUUCAGACUUUUCACACCGCAUUGUGGGGUACGUAUGCCCCUGGUGUAUUGGCUGUACCAUAGUGUACGGUUGCAAGGCGUCAUUAAUGAACACACACACACACACAUAUAUAUAUAUAUAACAAGAAUGCAAUGAUAGUCGUAAUGUCAUGCAUUGUUUAUUAAAAAAUUGCGUUAAAACAGAGUGAUACAGAUAGUGCGAUAAGCAAAGAGUAGGACUAUGUCCCUUCCAAGGGCAAGCUGAGGAAUGAUAUUAAAUUGAAUAUUUCACUCGUUACUGUAAUCAACCUGGGAAUUCCGUGGUAUAACGUAGCUGUUUGCCUCCUUGGUUGCUACAUCAUGUGUUCGGCAAUAGUGCUACCGGACAGUGUUUCCAGAGAUUAAGGUCCUGAAAGAAAAAGAAAAAAUAACCAAACGGGAAGCCCCUAGUGCGGUUUAGGCCGCGUGUUGGGGCAUUCCGCAGUUGUGCCCCCUCCCCACCUAUGCCCAUGGUAUUUUUAAUGCGUAAUUAUGUACGCGCGACACGAGUUUCGCCGCUGGGCUGGGAUUGGGGUGGCCGCCGUAUUGCUACGCGAGCUUAGAUCGCGCCAGGCGGUCUACUUGCCAAUUGCCCCGAGCGCGCUUGAAGGUGUCCGGGCUGUGAAGCGCCGAACUGGUUGAUUGCCUUGAGAGGCUGCUUUGCGUUUCUGCUGCGAGGGCUGCGGUGUGCUCCUCUGUUCGGAGAGAGCGCUCUGUGUUUCCAUUGACUGUAAUAACUCAGCGAGGUCCUGGCAUCUUGAGCUUGAGGUAUGCAUAAUGUGGUACCGCAUUGAAUCUAGCAAAUGCGGUUCACCCGAGCAGCGCGUGAUAACCACUGCGGAACGAGACUAUAUCGAAGAUUAACUCUUCACUUCGGAAGUUAUCCGGGGAUCCGUAGACCACUCCCAGUGUAAUUGAGCCUGUGCAAUGGGCCUCUACACCUGGUAUGACGCCCUUAAAGGUUGUUUUUGUGGGUUUGAUCCUUGAGGGGUCUAUACCCAUUUUGCGCACUGUGUCCUGAUAAAGCAGGUUCAGGCUGCUGCCGCCAUCCAUAAGGACUCGAGUGAGGUGAAAUCCAUCAAUGAUUGGGUCUAGGACCAGUGCGGCGAAUUCGCCAUGACGGAUACUAGUGGGGUGGUCCCUGCGAUCGAAGGUGAUCGGGCAGGAGGACCAAGGGUUGAACUUCGGGGCGACUGGCUCCAACGCAUAUACAUCCCUGAGCGCACGCUUCCGCUCCCUCUUGGGGAUGUGGGCUGCGUAUAUCAUGUUCACCGUCCACACUUGUGGGGGAAACCUCUUCUGUCCUCGAGUGUGCGGCUGCCGGGGCUCCUCCUCAUCAUUGCUAUGCGGCCCGUUGUCCUUGUUUUCGGCAAUAACUUGCCGGCCUGCUUGAACACCCAACAAUCCCUGUUGGUGUGAUUGGUUGGCUUGUCUGGGGUGCCGUGUAUUUGACACGAGCGAUCGAGUAUACGGUCGAAGCUGGACGGACCCGGCGUACUUUGUUUGAAUGGCUUUUUCCGCUGACCGGGUUUAGAGCCUUUGAAUCCGGCAUUGACUACCGUAUCCUCAGUAUUUUUGCUGUUAAUGCGGCGCUUAUGUUUGUUGCGACGUGACCUGCUAUUGCCAUCCUUGGUAUCUGAGGUACCAUGGUUCUUUGAUAUGUUAUUACUGCGAGCCAUGAGCGGGUCAUGAGCGUCGUGAGAGCUGCCAUAGAUUUCGGCUUUUCCUGACCAAGGUGCCGGGCUAGCCACUCGUCUCAGAUGUUGUGUUUGAAAGCCGCUAAGGCCUUCGCAUCCGGACAGUCGACGAUUUGAUUUUUCUUUGUAAGGAACCGAGUCCAGAAUUGCCUGGCCGACUCUUCUGGCUGCUGAAUUAUGUGGCUCAAGUCAUCGGCGUCUGGUGGUCGCACAUAAGUGCCCUGAAAGUUGUCGAGGAAUGCGGCUUCCACAUCUUCCCAACAACCAAUGGAGUCCGUUGGCAAGCUGUUAAGCCAAUGCCGCGCUGGUCCCUUGAGCUUUAGUGGGAGGUAUUUGAUGGCGUGUAAGUCAUCACUGCGGGCCAUGUGGAUGUGGAGGAGGAAAUCCUCAAUCCAUACUGCGGGAUUUGUUGUGCCAUUGUAUGAUUCAAUAUUUACAGGUUUGAAACCUUCUGGGUAUUGAUGUUCCAUUACUUCGUCUGUGAAGCAUAAGGGGUGUGCGGCGCCUCUGUAUUGGGCUAUAUCGCGAGCAGCUCGAAUGGGUCUUGCCCGCUGUGUUCGGCCUGGCCGGAUUUGCUUUUACUGUAUCCGGCGUGACGUUUAUCGUCUCACAGAGUGGUGCACCGUCGUGAUCCGUAGAUCGAUCUUGCAUGCUUUGCUUUGUCCUCCAAUAUGUCUCGCAGGUCUGGCGUAUCUUCCCAUGCCUUUUUAUUUGAAUGGCGUCGGGGUGGAGGCUGAGCUUUUUGCUGGAAUGCCUCUCUAUCGCGGCCACAAGGUGUCUGAUCAGCCAUAUCAUACGCUUCUUCCUCCAGUCGGGGUAGUAACCCGCACUUUGGGUAAUUCUUGGAGGGGCGCUCGAGUUUAUAUUCCUCGGCCGCGAGGACUUCAGUCCAUCUGUCAGCUAGCAGAUCUUGAUCAGCUUGAAGCUGCUACUUCUUUUUCUUCAGGCUAUUUGCCGUGGCCAUAAGCCGGCGCUUGAAGCGCUCUUGUUCGACGGGAUCCUCUGGUACGGCGAAUUUACCGUCGCCGAGGCUUGCCUCAUCUUUGGAGGGGGGCAUGUAAUUGUCAUCCUCCUCCUCUCCGUCUGCCGCUCUCUCAGGAGAGCUGGCUCCUCCAUACUCCUGCUCUAAAUCAUGCUGGAGGGGAUUGUUGUUGUCUUCGGCACUAUCCGAAGUGUUAUUAUCUCCUAUGCCGGUAUCACCACUUUUGCUUUGGCGGGACUUAGAGCGGCGCCGCUGAUGUCAGCGCUUGGGUUGUUUCUUGGAGGGGUCAUCCUCCGCUAUCUCGUCGCCAUUGCCUUCUUUGGGUGUAUCCACCAUGUAUAUGUCAUAUGACGAGGUGGCUUUCCAUUUCCAUAUAGGCGCUGGUUCAUGUUCGUCUCCUACAUCGUCGUCCAUACCGUCGAUGUCUUCAGAGUCGAAGUCGAGCAUGUCGGUUAAAUCAUCGACAUUGGCUACGAAGUGGGUGGUGGGUGGGCGUCAAAUUUCUUCGUCAUCCGCAUCCCAAUCCUGUUGGCCAUAAUCCGGCCAGGGCUCUCCUGACAAAGAGAGAGACCUUGGUGAAUUCAGAAUGUCGCCGAAGGGCGAGUGCUGAAAGAUAUCCGUGGCGGUGAAUUCCAUGAUCGGCGCCCAAUUGGAUUCGAUUGGCAGGGGCGCGGGCGGUUCGGAGUCAGAAGAAGAGUCCGGCACCUUGGAGUCACGGGCUGCGCAGAGGAUUAGGCUGGUGUUCGGCUCGAUCGCCGUUGAGACUGCAGCCCCUGAGGCGGUGUCUAACCACCCAUCCUCGAUUGGCGCAGUUGGCUCCGAGCUAAGGGUCGGAGCUGAUGCGGGCGCGGCCUCCGGGGUACUAUACGGCGGCAGAGCUAGGUCAUACCCAUUGUGACAGUGCGACACGUCUAGCUGUGGCUCGAAUCCGUCGAAGAUCAAGUCUCCGCGGAUGUCGGCCGUGUAGUUCAAACUUCCAAAUCUGACCUGAUGGCCAGGGGUGUAGCUUUCAAUCUGCUCCAGAUGGCCAAGCGAAUUAGCCCGCAGUGCAAAGCCGCCGAAUACAAAGAUCUGUCCGGGGAGAAAAGUCUCACCCUGGACCGCAUCGCUAUCGAUGAUAGUAGGAGCCAUCAAGCCUAACGGCGACGACACAGAGGAACUCUCAAUGAAAGCACCAAUGUCGGUGUCAAAACCGGCGGAUCUCGGGUAGGGGGUCCCGAAUUGUGGGCCGGAUGGUAACAGGAGGCAGGGGACACAAUGUUUUACCCAGGUUCGGGCCCUCUUGAUGGAGGUAAAACCCUACGUCCUGCUUGAUUAAUAUUGAUGAUAUGGGUAGUACAAGAGUAGAUCUACCACGAGAUCGAGGAGGCUAAACCCUAGAAGCUAGCCUAUGGUAUGAUUGUAUGUUAUGGUUGUUGUCCUACGGACUAAAACCCUUCGGUUUAUAUAGACACCAGAGACGGUUAGGGUUACACAAGGUCGGUUACAAAGGACGAGAUAUCCAUAUCCGUAUUGCCUAGCUUGCCUUCCACGCCAAGUAGAGUCCCAUCCGGACAUGAGACGAAGUCUUCAAUCUUGUAUCUUCAUAGUCUAAUAGUCUGACCAAAGGAUAUAGUCCGGCUGUCCGGAGACCCCCUAAUCCAGGACUCCCUCACUAACCAUAGCGUGAAACAUAUGGAUCCAAAUCAGCCCCUUACGAAGCAACGCAUAAACUAGGGUUUAAGCUUUGGUCACUCUAGCAACCCAUCAUCUACUUAUUACUUCCCAAUGCCCUCCUCUAGGCACAAAUAAUGGUGAAGUGUUAUGUAGUCGACGUUCACAUAACACCACUAGAGUCUAGACAACAUACAUCUCAUCAAAAUAUUGAACGAAUACCAAAUUCACAUGACUACUAAUAGCAAGACUUCUCCCAUGUCCUUAGGAACAAACGUAACUACUCACAAAGCAUAUUCAUGUUCAUAAUCAGAGGGGUAAUAAUAUGCAUAAAGGAUCUGAACAUAUGAUCUUCCACCAAAUAAACCAACUAGCAUCAACUACAAGAAGUAAUCAACACUACUAGCAACCUCUACUAGCACCAAUCCCGGACUUGGAGAUAAGAAUUGGAUACAAGAGAUGAACUAGGGUUUUGGGAUAAGAUGGUGAUGGUGAAGAUGUUGAUGGAGAUUUCCCUCUCCCGAUGAGAGGAACGUUGGUGAUGACGAUGGCGAUGAUGUCCCCCUCCCGGAGGGAAGUGUCCCCGGCAGAACAGCUCUACCGCAGCCCUAGAUUGGUUCCGCCAAGGUUCCGCCUCGUGGCGGCGGAGUCUCGUCCCGAAAGGUUACUUCUUAUUUUUUCCUCGACGAAAGACCUCAUAUAGCAGAAGAUGGGCAUCAGAGAGCCAACAGGGGGCCCACGAGGUAGGGGGCGUGCCCUAGGGGGGGGGGGGCGCCUCCACCCUCGUGGACAGGGUGUGGCCCCCCUGGUCUCCAUCUUUGGCAAGGAUUUUUCAUUAUUUUUAACUAGAUGUUCCGUGGAGUUUCAGGACUUUUGGAGUUGUGCAGAAUAGGUUUCUAAUAUUUGCUCCUUUUCCAGCCCUGAAUUCCAGCUACCGACAUUCUCCCUCCUUAUGUAAACCUUGUAAAAUAAGAGAGAAUAGCUAUAAGUAAUGUGACAUAACGUGUAAUAACAGCCCAUAAUGCAAUAAAUAUCGAUAUAAAAGCAUGAUGCAAAAUGGAUGUAUCAAAGAAUAUGUUCUUUUGUACAACUCUCAUUUCAGAUUCUUUGCAGGAAAACUCUUCUCAAAAUGGGAAGGCCCCUACGUUAUCGAGGAGGUUUAUCGGUCUGUAGCCAUCAAAUUAAAUAAUGCCGAAGGUACUAACCCGAAGGUUGUUAACGGGUAACGAAUAAAACAUUAUAUCUUAGGUAUGCCCAUUAACGUUGAAAGUAAUAUUAUCAAAACUAUGACACUGGAAGAACACAUAAAAGAGUACUUCCGGAACACUCCAGAAUCGUGAAAAUAAGGAGGUACGUGAUACGGUAAGUAAACGGACUCCAAAAAAUCCGCAAAAAUAUUUUUUGUCAAUUUUGGAAUAUUUAGAAAAAUAGGAAAAAAAGAAGCUACUCGGAAGCGUACCCUGGUGGGCACAAGACACCAGGGCGCACCAGGCUUGCCUGGUGCUGCCAGGUGGGUUGUGCCCACCUAGGACACCUUUCGGACUCCGUUUUUCUUCUGUUUUCUUAUCCCCCAAGAUAAAAACUAUAUAUACUUCCCAAACCUGUUAACCAUCGUAUCGCGGAGAAAUCCUCUGUUCUCUUUUCUUGCGGUUUUCGAUCAGAUCUGUUGAGUCAGGCAUCAUGUCUUCUUCUUCCUCCAACAACAUGGAAGAGGAUGCUUGGUUGAUGUAGAUUCGAGCUGAAGAGAGAAAAGCCCGCGGAAGCCGUCAGGGGAGAUGAGAGCAAGGAGGUUACCGUAGAUCAGCCUCUGACCUUCGAACAAGCACUGCCAACCGAGGAGGAAGAGGAAGAUAUCCUUAAACCCUACCUUGUUCACCUUCCUCCUACUGAGAUUGAAGCCUUUCUCAUCAUUGAAAUAGUUCGCAUACAGAAUAAGUAUCUCACUUGUGAAAAUAUUCUGCAUCAAGAGCAUAUUAUCCACCUCCGGAGCGUCAUCCAUCGGUUGGAGAAUCUCUUGAUCCUUAAGGAAAUGAUCUUUUCAUCACCACCAUCAUCUUCUUCACCACCAUAGGAGAAUUGAGUAUUGUGUAUGGGCACUCCCCUUGGCUUCUGCCAAGCUUGGGGGAGGUGCCCCGGUAUCGUAUCAUCCCACUAUCUUUUUGCCUUUACUUAUUUUAGUUUGAUAUUUUGCUUUAGAUGAAUAAAAGUUUAGUUCGAUCCUUUCUUUUUGAAAGUUUGCUUAGUGAUCUAUUGAAAUCGUGUGCGAGAUAUAUAAUAAAGUUUAGUUUGAGUUUUUUGCUUUCUUUACUUUCAUGUUGCAAAUAAAAGCAAAAGAGAAAUGAAAUAAAUGAAUGAAAGGAAAUAAAUGAAAGAAAGGAAAUAAAUUAAAAAGAUCAUAUACUAAUCCUAUGGUAGGUGAUAACACCACAUAAGAAAAGUAUAAGUAGAAAAAUUUAUUAGAUUUUGAUAAACAUAGCAUUAGUCAAUGAUACAACUCAUGAAAGAAUUAAUAAGGGAAGAGAAGAUUCACAUAUAAAUGUACUAUCCUAGAAAUCGUUUGUGAUUGUGAGCCCUCAUCAAAAUAUUAUAUGCCAAAAUUGUUGACGUUGGACAAGGAAGACAACAUAAUGGUUUAUGGUUGUUUAUAUUCACAUACAAGUCAUAUUGUCAUGGAUCCUUUAACAUGUGGUGCUUGCCCCUAUCUUUGCUAGCCAAAAAUUUCGCACUAAGUAGAGAUACUACUUGUGCAUCCAAAAACCCUUAAACCCAAAUCUUAUUUUCAAGUGUCCACCAUACCUACCUAGGGAUUGAGCAGGAUCCCUCAAGUAAGUUGUCAUCGGUGAAAAAAGGCAAUAAAAAUUUCUUCUAAAAGUGUGAGAUCAUUUAGUGUAAUAGAAAAUUGAGCGUUGCACGAACUUGUGAUGGUGAAGAAUGAAAGCAAUAGACUGCAUAAUAAAGGUCGCUAUCACAAGGGGCAAUGCAACAUGACGUCUUUUGCACUAAGGGGUUGAGCAUACAAACAAAUAAGCGCAUUGCAAACUCUGCUUCCCUCUGCGAAGGGCCUAUCUUUUACUUUUAUGUAUUUACUUUUAUGCAAAGAGUCAAAGUUUUCCUUCUAUUCCUUUUUAUUUUUCUGCUUUGGAAAGCAUCAUGUGGUGAGGAAAGAUCUAGGCACAUAUGUCCAGUUGAAUAUAGAUAGCAUGCGUUAAUAUUGUUGACAUCACUCUUGAGGACAAGCAAGGUCUAAGUGUCCGGUUGAAAUGUUUUGCUCAUGUGUACGCGGUGAGUGUUAGCAAUCAUAGAAGACUAUAUGAUGGUUGAGUAUGUGGACUUGAUAAAGGCUCCGACACGUGACCCUUCCUGAAAAGAUGAUGAAUUGUAGUUGCAAAGUUGACUGAGAACAUAGUUUGUUGGUUUUUAAUAGAGUUUUUUGCUUUAUACUUCAAUAGUGUGAUGAAUUGUCACUUAUUCAUGAGAAGUCUAUGAUAAAAGUUCUUUGAUAAGAAUUUUAUGUUAAAGUUUGUUGCUGUUAUAAUAAUGAACAUGAUGCUUCUAUGUCCGUAUUUUGUUUUUAUUGACACCUCUCUCUCUAAGCAUGUGGACAUGUUUUUCGAUUUCGGUUUUCGCUUGAGGACAAGCAAGGUCUAAGCUUGGGGGAGUUGAUACGUCCAUUUUGAAUCAUGUUUUCUUACUAUUAUUUAUGAUGUUUUUAUCCAUAAUAAUGCUUUUUGGAGUAAUUCUAAUGCCUUUUCUCUCAUAAUAUGCAAGGUUUACACAAAGAGGGAGAAUUCCGGCAGCCGGAAAUCUGGACCUGGAAAAGCUACGUCAGGCCACCUAUUCUACACAACUCCAAACAAGCUAAAACUUCACAGAUAUUUUUUUAUCAAAUAUAUAAAGAAUAUUGGAGCAAAUAACUACCAGAGGGGGCCCACCAGGUGGGCACAACCCACCUGGGCGCGCCAUGGACCCUAAGCACGCCCUGGGGGUUGUGCUCACCCAGGCCAACCUCCGGUUCCCAUAUUCUGGUAUAUAAGUCAUUUUGACCUAGAAAAAAAAUAAGGAGAGGACUUUCGGGACGGAGCACCGCCGUCUCGAGGCGGAACUUGGGCAGGAGCACUUUUGCCCUCCGGCGGAGCGAUUCCGCCGGGGGAACUUCCCUCUCAAAGGAGGAAAUCAUUGUCACCAUCAUCACCAACAACUCUCUCAUCUUGGGGAGGGCAAUCUCCAUCAAAAUCUUCAACAACACCAUCUCCUCUCAAACCCUAGUUCAUCUCUUGUGUUCAAUCUUGUUACCGGAACUAUAGAUUGGUGCUUGUGGGUGACUAGUAGUGUUGAUUACAUCUUGUAGUUGAUUACUAUAUGGUUUAUUUGGUGGAAGAUUAUAUGUUCAGAUCCAAUAUGCUAUUUAACACCCCUCUGAUCUUGAGCAUGAUUAUCAUUUGUGAGUAGUUACUUUUGUUCUUGAGGUCACGGGAGAAAUCAUGUUGCAAGUAAUCAUGUGAACUUGAUAUGUGUUUGAUAUUUUGAUAGUAUGUAUGUUGUGAUUUCCUUAGUGGUGUCAUGUGAACAUCGACUACAUGACACUUCACCAUAUUUGGGCCUAAGGGAAUGCAUUGUGGAGUAGCAAUUAGAUGAUGGGUUGCGAGAGUGACAGAAGCUUAAACCCUAGUUUAUGCGCUAUUCUGUAAGGGACCGACUAGAUCCAAAAGUUUAAUGCUAUGGUUAGAAUUUACUCUUAAUUAUUUUCUCAUAGUUGCGGAUGCUUGCGGGAGGGUUAAUCAUAAGUAGGAGGUUUGUUCAAGUAAGAACAUAACCUAAGCACCGGUCCACCCACAUAUCAAAUUAUCAAAGUACCGAACACGAAUUAAGCCAACAUGAUGAAAGUGACUAGAUGAAAUUCCUGUGUACCCUCAAGAACGCUUUGCUUAUCAUAAGAGACCAUUUUGGCAUGUCCUUUUGCGACGCCCCCGAUUCAAUCGUACACUAAUCAGACACGCAAACGUGUACGAUCAAGAUCAGGGACUCACGGGAAGAUAUCACAACACAACUCUACAAAUAAAAUAAGUCAUACAAGCAUCAUAUUACAAGCCAGGGGCCUCGAGGGCUCGAAUACAAGUGCUCGAUCAUAGACGAGUCGCGGAAGCAACAAUAUCUGAGUAUAGACAUAAGUUAAACAAGUUUGCCUUAAGAAGGCUAGCACAAACUGGGAUAUAGAUCGAAAGAGGCGCAUGCCUCCUGCCUGGGAUCCUACUAACUACUCCUGGUCAUCGUCAGCGGGCUGCACAUAGUAGUAGGCACCUCCCGAGUAGUGGUAGUCAUCGUCGACAGUGGCGUCUGGAUCUUGGACUCCAACGUCUGGUCGCAGCAACCGGGUAUAGGGAAGGGGAAAAAGGGGGAGAAAAGCAACCGUGAGUACUCAUCCAAAGUACUCGCAAGCAAGGAGCUACACUACAUAUGCAUGGGUAUAUGUGUAAAGGGCCAUAUCGGUGGACUGAACUGCAGAAUGCCAGAAUAAGAGGGGGAAAGCUAGUCCUAUCGAAUACUACGCUUCUGGCAGCCUCCGUCUUGCAGCAUGUAGAAGAGAGUAGACUGAAGUCCUCCAAGUAGCAUCGCAUAGCAUAAUCCUACCCGACGAUCCUCUCCUCGUCGCCCUGUUAGAGAACGACCACCGGGUUGUAUCUUGCACUUGGAAGGGUGUGCUUUAUUAAGUAUCCAGUUCUAGUUGUCAUAAGGUCAAGGUACAACUCCAAGUCAUCCUGUUACCGAGGAUCACGGCUAUUCAAAUAGAUUAACUUCCCUGUAGGGGUGCACCACAUAACCCAACACGUUCGAUCCCAUUUGGCCGGACACACUUUCCUGGGUCAUGCCCGGCCUUGAAAGAUCAACACAUCGCAACCCUACCUAGGCACAACAGAGCGGUCAGCACGCCAGUCUAAAUCCUAUGGCGCAGGGGUCUGGGCCCAUCGCCCUUUGCACACCUGCACAUUGCAAACGCGGCCGGAAGCAGACCUAGCCUAGCAGGCGUUCCAGUCCAAUCCGGCACGCGCCGCUCAGUCGCUGACGUCACGAAGGCUUUGGCUGAUACCACGACGUCGAGUGCCCAUAACUAUCCCCGCGUAGAUGGUUAGUGCGUAUAGGCCAGUGGCCAGACUUAGGUCAAAUACCAAGAUCUCGUUAAACGUGUUAUCUUGAAAUAACCGCGAACGCCGACCAGGGCCAGGCCCACCUCUUUCCUAGGUGGUCUCAACCUGCCCUGUCGCUUUGCCACAAAGAUCCACACAGAGGGCCGUUGGGACAAAGGUCCUUUCAGCCCCCAAUGCGUGAAUCACUCGAUGGUACUCCACGAGCCGACCCGACUUUAGUCACCACAUGUAUCAUGUAUAAAGUAUAUAGUAUAUACCCGUGAUCACCUCCCGAGUGAUCACGUCCCGAUAGUAUAGCAUGGCAUACGGACAAGAAUGUAGGGCCACUGAUGAUAAACUAGCAUCCUAUACUAAGCAUUAGGAUUGCAGGUAAAGGUAACACCAGUAGUAGCAAGGACAUGCUAUGCAUCAGGAUAGGAUUAACGGAAAGCAGUAACAUGCUACACUACUCUGAUGCAAGCAGUAUAGACGAGAGUAGGCGAUAUCUGGCGAUCAAGGGGGGGGGGCUUGCCUGGUUGCUCUGGCAAGAAGGAGGGGUCAUCUUCGAUGUAGUCGAACACACGGACAUCGGCAGCGGUCUCGGAGUCUACCGGAAAGGAGUAAUGGAGGGGGAACACAAUAAAUAACAGAGCAAUCAAAUGUAACACAAAGCAAGACGCGGCAAUACAUUGUGCUAGGAGUGACCUAACGUAGGGAUAGGCGAUACCGGCGAAGGGGGGAAACAUCCGGGAAAGUAUUCCUGGUGUUUCGCGUUUUCGGGCAGAUGAAUCGGAGAGGGAAAGUUGCGUGUUUGCUAUGCUAGGGAUGUGUGACGGACGAACGGACUGCGUAUUCGGAUUCGUCUCGUCGUUCGGAGCAACUUUCAUGUAUAAAGUUUUUCCAUCCGAGCUAUGGAUUAUUUUAUAUUUUUUUUAAGUUUUACUAAUACUCUGGAAUUAAUUUAAUUAUCUAAAUUUGAAUUAUCCAAAACAGUGACCUGUGAUGUCAGCAUGACAUCAUCCAGGCGUCAGCGGUCAAACCUCAGAUGGUCCAGGUCAACCCUGACCAGUGGGCCCCGCAUGUCAUAGAGAGAGGCUUAACUAAAGUUUAAUUUAAACCUAAUAUAGUCUAAUUAGCAGGUGGCCCCCACUGUCAGUGGCAAUAUUAAUUAUAGGUUAAGUUUAAAUUUGGAUUAGUCUUAGUUAAUAGAGGGGGGUCCCACAUGUCGGUGGCACAUGGUGCGCAGUCAGCAGGGUUGACUGGUCAACCCAGUCAACUAGGGUCCCUGGGCCCACGGGUGAGUGACCCAUUAGGCCGCCACGUGGCGCCAGGUCAGUGCCGUCGCCGGAGUAACUCCGGAGACCAUGUUUUGCGGUGGCGCACGUUGGGAGAUGGUCGAGUUUUGGCUACGGUGGCUUGUUUUGAGCGCGGGAGGUGGCGUUUGAACGAGUGCGGUGAGCCGCAUCCAGUGGCGGCGGUGGCGUGGCCGGAGGUGGCCGGAAGUGACGGCGGCGAGCACAUCGGCGGACGGGCGCAGUCGGGCGUGAGUGCAAACGGUUAUGCGGGGCAUGACAGGGCGAGCUAGCAGUGGCAUUGAGCUCCUAUGCGUGCGCCAAACACGGCUACAUGCUCGAACGAGCUCGUUGGUGAUGGCAUUGACGGCGACGAGCACGGCGGCAGGGGCGAGCUACAGCAGAGGCGGCUACUACGACUAUGGGCNNNNNNNNNNNNNNNNNNNNNNNNNNNNNNNNNNNNNNNNNNNNNNNNNNNNNNNNNNNNNNNNNNNNNNNNNNNNNNNNNNNNNNNNNNNNNNNNNNNNNNNNNNNNNNNNNNNNNNNNNNNNNNNNNNNNNNNNNNNNNNNNNNNNNNNNNNNNNNNNNNNNNNNNNNNNNNNNNNNNNNNNNNNNNNNNNNNNNNNNNNNNNNNNNNNNNNNNNNNNNNNNNNNNNNNNNNNNNNNNNNNNNNNNNNNNNNNNNNNNNNNNNNNNNNNNNNNNNNNNNNNNNNNNNNNNNNNNNNNNNNNNNNNNNNNNNNNNNNNNNNNNNNNNNNNNNNNNNNNUCUCCUAGGCGCGGUCUCGAGGCGUGGGGGCGACGGUGGCCGCGAGAUCGACGGAGGCCAGGGCGGCAGUGCUUCCGGCUCGUGCGGGGAAGGAGGGAGCGACACGAGGGAGAUGGGGGAGUGAGCUAGGGUUCGUCAGGGGGGUUCGGGGAGGGGUCGCCGUCGACCUAAAGGAGCCGGGGGGCACCGGAUGGCCGCCCCGUGGCCAUCUUCGGCCAUGGACGCGGUGCGCGCGUCCACCGCGACGGGGGUGAACAUGAGAAGGGGGAAGGGGUUAAGUGGGCCGUGUUUUCGGCUAAUGGGCCACAGGCCCAGUAGAUUAGUUUUGUUGUUAUUUUUCUUUUGUCUUUUUCCUUUUGUUUUCUGUUUUAUUUUUGUUCCUUUUCAUUUCAGUUUUAUAAAAAUUAACACUAGCACGUAAAUUUGUAAUUAUAAAUAUACUACUGCCACAUUAAUUCUCAACCCAAAAUAAAAUAGUUUAAUAUUCUAUAAAAUUCAAUAGGUAUUUAUUUAAUUGUUUAACUAUUGUUUUAAUUAUCUUAGAGCCUUUAAACAUUUUAUCAAAGUUUGUUUUCUCCUCCAUAAUUACUUAUGAUUUAUUUGACGCGCUUAUAGCAUUAUGGUUUUAAUGUUUGGAAACUUUUAUUGUUUGUCAUAUUUUGAAUUUGAAUUUUGAACAGUUUCGAAACAUCGCGAGGUUAACAACAGUAACCGUGGUGAGGUGACAUCAUUAGCGUGGGAUUACUGUAGCUUAAUUAUCCGGGCGUCACACCUUUGCCUCAAAAGGAUUGGGCUACCUUGCUGCACUUUUGCUACUAUUAUCAUUACUUGCUCGUUACAAAAUAUCUUGCUAUCAACCUACUCCGUUACUUACAUUUUCAGCACUUGCAGACAUCACCUUGCUGAAAACCACUUGUCAUUUCCUUCUGCUCCUUGUUGGGUUCGACACUCUUACUUAUCGAAAAGAGCUACAAUUGAUCCCCUAUACUUGUGGGUCAUCAAGGCUAUUUUCUGGUGCCCUUGUCGGGGAGUGAAGCUCCUUUGGUAAGGAAGCAUUUACAUAGUGUGCUGAAAUUUAUUGUCACUUGUUACUAUGGAAAACAAUCCUUUGAGGGGUUUGUUCGGGGUAUCUUCACCUCAACCGGAAUCACAAUUAGCUACCCCUCAACCUACUACACCUACUGAAAAUAUUGAAUAUGAAAUUUCUUCGGGUAUGAUAGAACAACUACUAGCUAAUCCUUAUGCAGGAGAUGGAACCGAACAUCCUAAUAUGCACUUGAUAUAUGUAGAACAAAUUUGUGGAUUGUUCAAGCUUUCAGGUUUGCCUGGAAAUGAAGUUAUGAAAAAGGUUUUCCCUUUAUCUUUGAAGGGAAAAGCAUUGGCAUGGUAUAGGCUAUGCGAUGAUAUUGGAUCUUGGAAUUGGAAUCGUUUGAAAUUGGAGUUCCAUCAAUUUUUUUAUCCUAUGCAUCUAGUUCAUCGUGAUCGGAAUUAUAUAUAUAAUUUUUGGCCUCGUGAAGGAGAAAGUAUCAGUCUAGCUUGGGGGAGGCUUAAGUCAAUGUUACAUUCAUGCCCCAAUCACGAGCUCUCAAAAGAAAUUAUUAUCCAGAACUUUUAUGCUUGGCUUUCUCGUAAUGAUCAAACCAUGCUCGAUACCUUGCUACCUCUUGAGCAUGCGUUGGUUUUCCCUUGAAGAGGAAAGGGUGAUGCAGCAAAGUAGUGUAAGUAUUUCCCUCAGUUUUAAGAACCAAGGUAUCAAUCCAGUAGGAGACAACGCACAAGUCACCUAUUACCUGCACAAACAAUCAAGAACCUUGCAAUCAAUGUGAUAAAGGGUUUGUCAAUCCCUUCAUGGUCACUCGUAAAAGUGAGAUAUAAUAAAGAUAGUAAAGUAAAUAUUUUUGGUAUUUUUGUUGUAUAGAUUGGAAAAUAAAGAUUGCAAAAUAGUAAACGAGAUGCGAUGUAAAUAAAAUAGAUGCAAUAUAAUAAGAAAGAGACCCGAGGGCCAUAGGUUUCACUAGUGGCUUCUCUCAAGAUAGCAUGUAUUACGCUGGGUGAACAAAUUACUGCCGAGCAAUUGAUAUAAAAGCGCAUAGUUAUGAAGAUAUCUAAGGCAAUGAUCAUGAAUAUAGGCAUCAGGUCCGUGUCAAGUAGAUCGAAAUGAUUCUGCAUCUACUACUAUUACUCCAUACAUCGACCGCUAUCCAGCAUGCAUCUAGAGUAUUAACACUACUAGGGAAAACCCUAGUAGUAGCGCGGAUUUUGAGGCUAGCAGCAGCGCGGGCAGCCGCGCUACUACUAUGACGCUACAACUAACUAUUAGUAGUAGCGCGGUCCGCACCCGCGCUACUACUGUUGACUAUAACAACAUCGCUUUUCUGGAAUGCGCUAUUAUUAGUUAACUGUAGCGAUUUCCUAGCCCCUCACUACUGCUAUAUCUUUCAUCAUUUCCCCUGCUUCCUACCCCGUUUCAGUUUCAAUAAACUGCAAUUUCCAAAUACUACUACUAGAUAUCAAUUUCAUAAAGCAUUGGUACUAGGUAGUACUCCCUCCAUUCCAGAUUACUCGUCGUGGUUUUAGUUCAGACCACGACGAGUAAUUUGGAACGAAGGGAGUACUAGAUAACAAUUUCAUGUAUAGUCAACAUGCAUCCUCAAGCAGUACAAGGUCAUAUCGAUGACGAUCAUCAUAUGUAGUUCUAGAUGAUAUCGACGACGGUCAUCAUAUGUAGUUCUAGAUGAUAUAGCCACACACACAUAUGUAGUUCUAGAUGAUAUCAAAGACGAUCAUCAUCCUCAAGCCUGGGCGGUGGGUGUUCCUGAUUGUAAUUAGGAUGGCCUGUCCAACACGAAGAUUCUUGCCAUCGAGGAAUCUCUUCCACCCAAUCGAGUUUAAGUGUGUGCGACCGUCCAUGUCCAUGCGGUAAGUACAGGUUGUGACGGAGCCCCUUGUGGUAAGGUGUAGUCCAGCCGAGCCUUCUUCAUCAGGCCCGAUACCAUAACUCACAGAUAGGCUCUUUGCCAAUUUCUGAAUAAGAAAAACAUAUCAAUUAAUAAAUAGCCUCGCACAUAGUCUUGCAAAUAGGUAUAUAUGGAUUAUCUACACUAUUAAUAGUUCCUUAGAUUCUACACUAAUAAGCAUGUGAUCAAACUCUACACUAAAGCAUAUCAUCGACUAGAUUCCACACAACAUAUCAUUGGACUCUACACUAAGCAUAUCAUCGGAUAAUUUGCAUUUGUAAGUAUAACGUACCAUAUCAUGUUGAUCGACCAUGGUACUUGUCAGGCCGGUCAUGAAUGGCACCCCGACAAAGUCAGCACAUGGCGGAAUUAUGUCCCAUAGGUUGCACACCUCCUCCUCGCUCAGCCUCAUUCUUUGAGCUACGAUGGCUUCAUGAAGUGGGUCCUCAUCAUCUUCAUCGAGUGGGUCCUCAUUAUCUUCAUCAUUGUAACACCCCAAAUUUCCAAUUUGGAAUGUUAUACAUUAGACCAUCAUUGCAUAUCAUAUUUUACUGCAUUUCGGUUUAAUCCUAGAAAUUCUACGCAACUCAAGGAUCCAUAGAGAGAGUUGAGGAUUUCGUUAUUUUCAUAUUUGAGUUUUCUCAAAUUUUGAAAAGAGGAUCGUUCGAUUUUAAUUAUUUUCUCUUCGAAUAUUUCUUUUACGAAAAAUAAAGAGUGGGGAUAAAAUGACUUCCCCAAAAUAAAUAAAUAUUGGAGAUUUAAUAUCAAAAUCAAAUAAGAUUUUAUUCGGAGUUUUUAUCGCUAUUUUAUUUGAACUAGGAAAAAAUGCAUUUUUCAAAAUUGCAUUAGAGCCCCAAAUAAAUGUUCACCUUGUCCGUUAGAUUUUUAGAGGACGGGGAAAAUUUAUUUCAGGAUUUUUGGAGUCCAUUUAGUACUUCUUUUCUUUAUUUUUCCGAGCGGAAUUAUUUAAAAAUAAAGUCAUUAGACCUAACCGGGCCGUGUCCGACCUGGACACUAGCCCGGCCGGCCCUUUUAUAGACGCGGAGGCCCGAGCUAGCGCCGCCCCACCCGAAAACCCUAGCCGCCGCCGGAGCCUCGCCGCGCCGCCGUCCCGCAGCGGCGCCGCUGCCGGUUCCCCUCGCCGCCGACGCCGUUAGCCGCCGGAGCCGCCGCCGGUUCCCCUCGCCGCCGAGACCGUUAGCCGCUGGAGCCGCCACCGACCUCGCCGAGGUAGUUCGCCGCCGCCGCCAGUUUUCUUCGGAAAACCGAUCGGUUUACUUUUUUUCAAAACCUUAGUUUUUUUAUUAUUAUUUAGAUCGUUUUUUAUUUUCCUGGUUUAUUUAUUUAAUGAACGCCCGUUCGUACGUUCAUUUUAACAAACGGUUUUCACUCGUUAACCAUAGACAACGAACGUUCGUUCGUUAGCUUGUUCGUCAGUUUUCUUUUUCCAGGGUUUUUCCGCGAUUAUUUUCGAUCGCGAUUUCUGCCCAAAUCUUCGUUCUAGUAUAACUUUUCGCUCGUUUAUCGAAAUCAGGCAAUUCAAGUGCCUAGAUCUUUGUCUAGAAGCCCUCUUUCUGUUUAACCAACUUGAACAAGAUUUUGCUACUGUAAAAUUUGACUUAAGUUCAGAUUAGUAAACGGAUCUUGUUUCUUUCGCAGUUUGAGUUUUGUUGCUUCGUUUGAUUUGAUUCUUUUUGCAAACCGGAGUUCUUAUGUUGAAAUUUCUGGUUAGAUCUUUUAUU
rnacentral:lncRNA from 1 species